CAGCAUGGCCUGUUGUGGAUGCUCUUUUCCACUGCAAUCACGUUUGCAUUUGUGAGCUUCUGGCAUGGUGGUUAUGACUACCUCUGGUGCUGGGCAGCACUCAACUGGCUGGGAAUCACUGUGGAGAAUGGAGUCCGGAGGCUGGUGGAGAAGCCCUGCAUUCGGGACAGUUUGGUGAGCAGGGUUCUUGUUUGUUGGGGACAGCUGAGUUAGAAGGAGAGGUUUAGGAGGGACAGUGGUCAUCAGGUUUGCCCUAGCAUGUGCUGAACCUACCAGAUUGGUUCAAAGUCCAUGUGUCUAGAGGCACCACAACUAGAGGAGAAGCUUCUGUAGCCAUUAUUUAAGUGAACAAAUGAAUACAAUGGAUGACUAUUGUAACUAUUAAAGCCAUACAUGAUUAUUUUUAAAUUGUUGUUUUAAUUAGUUAUAAAUGACAGUAGAAUGCACUUUGAUACAUCAUAUAUAAUGGAGUAUGAUUUCUCAUUUUUUCUGGUUGUACAUGAUGUAGAAUCACACAGGUCGUAUAGUCCUAUGUGUACAUAGGAUAAUAAUGUAUGAUUCAUUCUACUAUUCUACCCCCAUAUCUCCUUGCCCUCCAUUCACUCCCCUCUACCUAAUCUGAAGUAACUCUAUUAUUCCCUAUCUGCCCCCCACUGUGAAUUAGCUUCUACAUAUCAGAGAAAACAUUCUGCUGCUGUUUUUUUGGGAUUGGCUUAUUUCACUUAGCAUAAUAUUCUCCAGCUAUAUCUGUUUACUGGCAAAUUUCAUUCUUCUUUAAGGUACAGUAAUACUCUAUUGUGUGUAUUUACCACAUUUUUAAAAUUCAUUUAACCAACCACCUAGGUUGGUUCCAUAGUCUAGCUAUUAUGAAUUGAGCUACUAUAAACAUUGAUGUGGCUGUAUCACUGUAAUAUGCUGAUUUUAGCCAUACGUGUUUUGUUAUAUAAAAAUUAUAAAAUUCAGACAAGAAAAGAGAAAAAUAUCUCUUGAACAAUCAUUAUGUUAACACUCACUUUUUUCUGUGUAUGCACAGGUAACAUUUAAAGAAAAUAAUCCAGAGAUAUUGUUGUAUUGGGACCACUUUUCCAAAUUGCUGAAUGUAUUUCUAAUAAUCCCUUUUAAUGGCUACAAGAGUUCUAAUAUGGAUAUGCCAUAAUUUACUUAUUUUCUCUUAUUAAUCAUAUAAUUACAUUAUUUUCAACUGCCAAUUUAAUUGAUGUGAAUAUCAUAACCAAGGUAAAUUCUCAUAGGUAAAAUUGCCUGGGUAAAGUCUUCUCAUCUUUUAGGUUUUGCAUCCUGCAUAUCAACUAGUAUCCACCCUAUAUAGACAAAAUAUAUCAAUUUAAUAUCCUCCAAACACUGUGUGGGAAACCCUUGCCAAUACUAAGUGGUAUGAUUAUUUUUAAACUGCUAGGUACUGUAGAUAGAAGUGCCACCCUCCACCCCUCUUUUAAAACUUUAGCUUUCUUUUUUAUUUUUUUAAUAUACACUCCAAUUCUGUGGGAAAAUUAAGAACUUCACACACAUAUUUUAAGUGAUUUUUUUAAAAAAUGAGCACACACUUUAUCUUGUAAGUGUGGUACAGGAUGUAUUAGAAUCUUAUAGGAAAUCACUCCUUCUAAAUAUGCAGCAAUAUUCUACUAGCCAUGAAAAAAAAGUAGCUAAAAAAAAAUCUAGUAUCAAUCUUUGUGACAGAUUAUAAAACAGAAGACAUUUAUGGGAAAAAAAGAUUCUCAUGGAUAAAUUCCCCCCAGUACAUACAACUAAAGCAGUAGAUUAAACACACACACACACACACACACACCAAAACAGAGUACGCUUGAGUAUGUAUCUAUAUAGUUAGAGUACAAAUGGACAGUUAUUUCAAUGAAGACUAAUCCAAAGUACCUACUGAAAACACACUUGAAGGAAUUUAAAUAUGCAUGAGCAUAUUUAAAUCUUUUCAGUCCUGUCUGAAGCCGUGUUUCUGUGUCUCAUGAAGGGUCUAACUUUCACCUUGAAUGUAAUGUUAAACGGGGUUCUGUGGCCUUUGAGUCAUAGUUUAUGCUAUUACUGCAUUUUUAAAAAAAUCCUAAAACAUUGAAGCAAUAACCAAACUGUAGUAUGUAACCUAUGGCUGUUUAAUUUUGAUUAAAACUAAGACAACAAAUGCACUUGUUCACUGGAUGAAGCAUUGAGAGUGUACCCCAGGACUCUCAUGUAUAUUCUUUAUUUAAACUUCUGUCCAUGGUUCAGGUGUUGAGGAGGUGCAGAGAAAUUUUUAUAUGCAUGUUUAGUGAGAUAUUUGCCUUACAUGCUGCAAAUGUGGUGUUCAGUUUACAAAUUUAUUUAGAACCUAUUUUAUAGAAAUUUUCUCACCUAUCUUUUCUCUUAGGAGUCUGUUGGGAAUUGAUAGCUUUUUAGAUGGUGUCCUCCUUGAGUUACAGGAUCAGGAUCCUGUUUUUUAUGCUCAUUGUUUAUCUGAGUUAUUCUCAAUAUAUCACUGUACAAUUAAUUGCUCCCAAGUUGGAGUUUUUUGGGUUUUUUUGUUUUGUUUUUUUCAGGUCUUCUUUCACUGUUCAGAAUCUUCCUCUACUACCCUCCUCCUUGAAUAGUUCAGAAGAAAAUGUUUUCCUUUGCCAAAAAACAAACUGGCCUUCUAAACGCACACAACUUCUUGAUUUUUUUUAAGCUUCUGUUUCCCUUUCUUUUGCCAAAAUCCAAAUAAAGAUUGAAUGCCCUCUUGGUACCUAAUUAGAUCUGACUAUAGUCUCCCCAGCUGAUUUGAUAGCAGUGAAUUCACAAUGUGAUUACACUGACUGAAUGAAGAAGAUGAGUAAAAGUUUCGCAAGCAAGGAUGUUUCCCCCACAUCCUCAGAAUUAUUCAGCGUUCUCCCAAGACACAGAACCAAUAAGGAGUGUGUGCACAUAUGUGUAAGACAAAAUUUAGUAUACAGAAUUAAUAAACAAUUAUGGAAGCUGAGAAACCCAGACUCAGGAGAGCUGGUAUAAGUUUCAGUCUGUCUGAAGUUUGUCUUCUAGAGAAAGUCUGUGUCCCAGCCACACAGAGGAAAGAAUAUUUUCUUGGGCUGGGGAUGUGGCUCACGCGGUAGCGCACUCGGCUGGCAUGCAUGUGGCCUGGGUUUGAUCCUCAGCACCACAUACAAACAAAGAUGUUGUGUCCGCUGAAAAACUAAAAAAUAUUAAUAAAUUUUCUCUCUCUCUCUUUAAAAAAAUAUUUUCUUGACCUUUUAUUCUAUUUAGGCUUUGAAAGGAUUGGGUGAGGCCCACCGAUAUUGGGGAGAGAAAUCUGCUUUAUUCUGUCUUCUGAUUCAAAUGUUACUAGAAAUACCUUUGUAGUACACCCCUUAAAUAAUGUUUAACCAAGUACGUGGGCAUCUUGUGGCUUAAUCAAGUGACAAAUAAAAUAAACCAUCGUACUCUUUCUCCAUGGCAUGUAUCCUUCAUCUGUUUCAUUUAGAUUGAUGGAUAUCUGAACAACAAAGAUUAUUAUUCCUUCUUUUUUCAUAUUGUCUUCAACCUCAACUUCAAGGCCUUAUCGGGGCUUAGAAUAUAGAAAUUCUUGGUGUUGGUUGAUUUACCAGUUGAUUGACAGUUUCCUUUGGGCAUCUCAGAAGCCUAGAUGGAGUGAAACAUUGUGAACUGGAAGCAUUCUGAGCUUCUGCAGGAGGGCUAUCUGAUAGAACUUCCUGCACUACAGGGUUAACUACGGGGGCAAAUGGAAGCAGGGAGGCUAAUCAGAAGCUAUUUGGUAGAUCAAGGAAGAAACGAGAGCAGCUUGGAUUAAGAUGAUUUCAGUGGUAAUGCAAACAACCAAAAGUCAAUAUCUACUUAGAAAAUAGAAUGUACAGUAUGUACAGGUGGGUCGAAGGGGGAGAGAGGUACAGGGUUACUUGAUGACUUGUGCCUUGAGGAACUAGAUUUUCCCUUAGUGCUGAGUGAUGUUUCUCCAAUAACAACAACGAAACCCUGAGUAUAUUGCUCUUCAGAAUCACAUUUACUGGCUUCCUAUUGUCUUAGGACUAAGUCCUCAGUGUUGAAGAUGAUGUCAUAUUUAAGAUGAAGCCCUGCCUCAUUGUCAUCUUGAGACCUCCCACUGCCCCUGUCCCCUGAUUCUCUGUUCUUCCUUCUAUUGGUUUAAGAACCUGGGCCCCUCCUGCUUUCAGCAUUCCCACAUAGGCUCCUCUACCUCCUUGGGUGCUCUCUCCCCUUCGCCUCCUCUGCUGCUCAUCCUUCGGAUUUCAGCUUGAAUGGUGCCUUGCUUGUGAAAGUUUUUUUUUUCUUUUAAAAAGAGAGAAUUUUUUUAAUAUUUAUUUUUUAGUUCUUGGCGGACACAACAUCUUUGUAUGUGGUGCUGAGGAUCGAACCCGGGCCGCAUGCAUGCCAGGCGAGCGUGCUACCGCUUGAGCCACAUCCCCAGCCCCUUGUGAAAGUUUUACUCACCCUCAGUCAGGUCCCAUUGGACAGUUUCUUCUGGACAUCUCAUGUUCUGUCAUACUUAGCCCCAUUGUAAUGAAAUAUUUUAUAUGAUAACUUGUUUAAUGCUUAUCUUCCUCACUGAGCUGUACUCUCAUAAGGUCAAAUACACUAUAUCCUCGAUGGUUUCCACAAUACCUGGGACAAUGAAAGAAUGAAUGCUGUUUUCUGACUUCACUGAGGGGGAGUAGAAGAGGGAACUGCUUAGGCAGCAAGGCAGUACAGGUUGAAUCCUGGAAGAACUUACUAAGGCCUAUGCUGGAACACUAUUUUAUAGCUAUGUAGAUACUAAUAGGUCUAGUGAUGGCAAAAUGGUAGUUUACUGAUCAGUGCACAAAAAUAUAUAUAGGAAAAAAAAAGGAGUAGGGAAGAAUUAGCCUUCUUGGUACCCUGCUGCUUUAUUGGGGGAGGGCAUUAUUGGUUGUGACUCACUGAGGCACAAAGCUGUGGGAAGCUUACAAAAGGCGUUUUCUCAAAGCACCCCAUCUGGGUGGCUGUAGAGGAGUUACUCCUGCAGUGACAUAAUUUUUUUUUCUACACAAGAACUCUCCAGGGAGCUGGAAUUUGUGUUCGGCAUUGAAAUCUUUAGUAAGUGGAAACAAUUUGAAGCAUCAGUAGAGUAGCACUGCUUCUUGCCAAUUGCUGAUUUGAUCUCUCCCUUGGAAGAAGUCACCUUCAGGCUGAUUGGGGGUUAUUCCUGCAAAAAGGAGGAUCCAUAUGUCAAACAGUUUAUCCACCCCACCCCUGGUUCCCAUUUCAUUUUAUAAUUAUGUCCUCCUCUCCCAGCCCUUAUCCCCUCUUUUUCUCCCUAGGAGUGUCCUACUGAGCUGACAGAGCCUUUCUGAAGAAGUUUCUAUUUAUACUUUAGGAAACACACCUCCAGUGGAUACCCUCAAGGGUCAGCAUGGUGGUCCUAGAAAGGAUUUGAUAUUCUGAUUGUCAGGAAGAACCCAAAGAACAGGUUCUUUAUGAUGCUAUCCAUUCAGUUUAUUGGCUCUACUAAUCUGUUUGAUUUUGAAGAUACAGGUAGAGAAAUCCAAUGAGUUUGAGAGAGAGCUGACUAUAAAAUAAUCAACAUGAUCCAAAUUAUGGUACGUUAGCUCUCUGGAAUACUAACUCAACAACUGGCAAGGAGUACGUGUCUUUUGGCCUGAUUAGAAAACCUUUUCAUUGGGGGUCAGUGGUCGUGGCCCCAACUCACUCACUGAGGAAACAGCAAACUUCUCAGAGUUGUGCUUCUUGACAUGUGGCCAUCUUCCAUAUAUUUGACAUUUCUCCACCGCUUGGAUUCAUUUCAGCAAAUAGAGAUGAUGUGCUUAUUGGACAUAAGCCACUCCAGAGGAGAACCUUUCCUAGACUGAGCCCACUUAAGCUUAGUCAGCCUGAUCCUUCAUGUCUUAAUUUGUUCAUUGUGUGUGUGUUUGGAGGGACCAUGUGCUAUAUGGGAGAAAGUUCAUUGAGCACUGGAGGACUCUAAACCAAAUGUACCAUCAUCCCUACCUCCUAAUGCCCCACCCCCUUUUUUUGCACCCUCCUUCGCUACUUAGAUGCAGAUAUGUAUUAGUUUAUCAUUGUGCAACUAUAGAGCCUAUAUUAAUUUGGACCAUGAAGAUGAUCGUUUUUGUGGUAGAUGCUUUGGAUUAGAGAGAAAAUAUUACCGUAGAAUGAGAGCUUCUCCCUAUGGAGAGCUAACUGAUCUGUGUAGAAAAUGGAGUUAUUUUCAUUAAAAACUGAUUGACUUGCCUUCCCAGGCAUAGCUCAGAAGAAAAGUUCAGGCUAAAAAUAGAAAUUCGGCAGCGUUGGAUGUUAUUUUGGAGCCAUCGUAAUAUUUGAGAAAUUUGAGAGAAAGAGGCACCUGCCAGGACUGAAUCUGGAUGGAGGAGGAGGAACAAAGAAGUGGAGGUGAUCUCCCUGGACUCAAGAAAAAAUUUCAGGGAGGGGGAAAAGUCAAUGGUGGUGAUCCUAUUCAGAGGUCAAGUAAGUGAGGCUAAAGAAUAGUUAUGUCUCCUUGUGAGAGGACUCGCAAUGAGAGAAGAGAACAGUGAGUCAUCAUCUCUAUUCUCCAGGAGUUAAUGAUGUAGUUGGGGGGAUGGGGGAGCAAGAUGUGUGAAAACCAGUUGAGGACCAAUGGAAGGUGUUACAUGCAGAGUAACCAGAAUGAGGCGUGGAGGCAGCUCACAUGUGUGAGAGUGGUGGUGAGUGUGAACUUGGCUUUUGGUAAUGGUUUAUUAAAGAACUGGGAUAUGAGUAAGACCCUGACACAUUUAGAGGAGGAUUUGGCUAUGUGGGUAGGGAGGAGGCAGAAGACUAACAUUCCGGGCCAGGGAAAUGGCACACACAGCCCAAAGUUGGGAAUGAGCUUGCUGUGUUCGGGGCUAGAGGCUGACCGGACAAGUGGGAGAAAGGGAAUUAGGCCGAAUGGUCCCCCAUAUAAAAGGACUUUGAAUGAUAUGCUUAGAAAUUUAGAAAUGCAAAUGACUUAACCAAACAGAAAAGCAUUAAAUUAACAUAUUAAUCCCACACAUCAAAUUAGCCUGUUGUACCAGCUUGUUCGCGCUCACCCGAACCCCCAACCUGUGGGUCUGGAGAAAGCAGUGCACAUGGUUAUGAACAGUGUGUUCCUUGAUGGAUUACGACUAGUUGGCACCCCCCCCCCCCUUUAUUGUCUCCCACUCCCAAGGAUCAUUAAUGAUGCUGGAAACACACUGUGCAAUUCACUGGGUAUAUAUUUUCUUCACUGUGGGAAUCUGAAGUUCAAGUCUUAACCUCUCUGGUCUAAGAGGUAGAAUUCUGGAAAUAAUUGCACCUUUCAGUUCAAAUAGGUGAAGCAUUUCAGAGGUUCUUUUUAACUUUGCAUUACUGAGUCUGCUAUCUGACAGAAGCUUUUGGAAAAGAGUUCAUUUUCAGUUAUUCCCAGACUGGUGUGCCCCAGCUCUUGGGCCUCUGCUGCCUUUCCCACCCUGCUGAAUUCAGGCUACAGUAGGGCAGGGGUCCUGCUCUGGUAAUUUGCCACUCUGAUGGCACUGUUGACCCUUCCCCCCUGCUAAAGGCAUAGCACACACACUCACCUUGGAAAUUGUAAUCUCAGAAAAGAUUAUCAAGCCAAAGGUGAGAUCUAUGGCUUGAAUGAUAAAGGUGGCUUCUGGAAUUAGAUUCUUGAUCUAAGAAUCCCUGGUUUCUUCUAUAGCAGAUGAAUGAUGGUUACUCUAACCAGUUGGUAUAAUGAACUUAAGAAAAAGAAAGAAUUAUUUUAGUAUACAUGUUGAAGGGUUGGAUGUAUGUUUCCAAAUGUGGUCUUUUUCUUCCCAGGAAAAUCCAAAUUACCCUCUAGAUGUUACUGAGCUUGAGUUGCCAGUGUUCUUGUUGUUAAGAGAAGGUGGAAAACAGCCCCUUUGCUGCUUCGCAAAAUAAUAUGCACAUACUUGGUGCAAUAUAUUUUUACAACAUGUAUUUAUAUAUGUGCAUAUAUAUGCUGAGAGUAUAUGUGUAUACAGCAUGUAUGUGUGUGUUAGUUUUUUAAAGCUCUAAAAAGGCAGAGAUGUGCAGGACUCCUAAAAUAAUUCUUUCAAAGUGUCUCACGUUCCUCCCAAGACCUAGAAAUAAACUGCUUAAAAAAGCAUAUCCAGCAGCUGCUGGUCUUGUUUGAGAUCAGCUGGUUGGUAUCAAUGUGCUUGUGACUACCAACAUGUAUUGAAAAGCAAUUUAAGUUGGAGCUCGCUCUUUCUCUGGUGUUGACCCUGUAGUUCACCCAGCAGGUUGGAGUAAAAGCUGGAAUAACCAUUGAUUGUCCCCUGAGGGUGAUAGGAAAGAAUACACAAUAAAAAGUGCAGGACCUUUAUCAAGCUGGCUAUGCAAUUAUUGAAAGUGAUGCUGUCCUCUCUUGUCUGUAGUGCAAUCAAGGUUUUAAGUGCAAGAGUUACUACUCACUAUUAAUCUUUCUAAUUCUCUUAUAGUUUUGAUUGGAAUAUUGGAUAAUAAAGCCUUGAACAGAUUAAAAAAAAAGUGCUGGGGAAAUGUUAUUGUGAAGACACAUGUUCUUGACAUAGUAAGUGAAAAUGAAGUAUAAAGCCCAGUAAAAACUUAUUUAAAAACACAAAUGCGACAAGUGCAUGAAAGUUAGGCACUAAAAGGUUAAUAGUGCUUAACUCUUACUGGUGGGAUUAUUUUGUGUGUGUGUGUGUGAGAUAUUUUUCACCAUAUUGUGUCUAAUCAAAGGUUACUGAGAGAGAGUCAAGCAGGGUGGACUCAUCUUUGAAGGAUUUGCCCAAUUAACCCUUAAAUCUUGAUUUAUAUUAGAAGUUGAAGGGUAGAGUUGUCAUUCUCAGGAGCAAGCUAACAUAGGGCUGUUGUAGUUGCUAUCAUUGGCCAGAGGCUAGACCACAUACUGUCAUAAAGACAGAUCUUUCACAUUAUUUUACUCAAACAUUCCAGUGACCCUCAGGGUAGGUGUGACUACUCCCAAUUUUACAGAUAAGGAAGCUGGAGACUGGGGAGGUAAGUAAAUUUCUGAGCUUCCUGGAGUUCAAAGAGCUGGAGCCUCCCUUGAUAAACCCUCCCACUUAGAGCACCUGCUUGUUUUGCAAGUCUUGGUUGCUUAGGCAUCUUAGGACUAACUGCAUUCCUGCCUAUUCAAUUUCAGACAACAUGGGAUUUAAUUGUGGUUCCACGCAACCUGCUUGUGGAAUGACCAAUUCGAGAAAUUGGCCCAAGUACGUGGGGUCAUUCACAAAGACAAUUUGGUCAUGUUAUUUCAUGUGAUUUUUUGAUGAAAGUCCUCUAGGUAAAGUCCUACUUUACCAUAUGAACUGAAACUCAGAAGGUUUAAGUGCUACAAAAGUAGAGUCAGGAUACAGUCGGAGAAAUUCAUCAGGUGAUUCUGCUGUUGUCGGAACUUCAUAGCGUGUCCUCACACAAACUAAGGCGGCCACAAUGGCACUGCCUGAUAGAAUCUUACAAGGCCACCUUUGUAUCCAUGGUUCACCCUUGAGCAAGAUGUUAUGCCCAAAUUACUGCAAGCCUUUAUUGUGUUCCUAUCAUUCCUGUGUCCUUUUCCCAGCAGUGGCAAUGUUUAAUUCUUGGUUGUUUCUGGUAUUGACCUCUAUCUUUUGAAAGUCGGUACUUCUCCCAUUAUCUCCUCAUCUAUGAUUUACAAAUACAACGGCCUUCUACCCAAGCUUUUAGCAUCUUAUCUCCUUAUUUCUUCUACUAUAACUCAUUUUGGUUAAUUCAGCUCUAAGUGUUUACGUCAUUGCCAUAGUAAGUGUGGCUCAGUGCCAAACUAUUUAAUACAGGUAUUUGCCUUUCUUGUACAAUCGUUUUUCCCACUUAAGUGAAGAAUGCUUUGCAUUUUUUUUUGUUAGACUGGUUGACUGUUCCCACUUCUUUACAGACUAAUAGAAGCAAAAAAAAUCCCUCAGAUAACAAUUUCUACCUGGUCAGAUGUAUUUGGCAAUCUUCUUUUCCUAGAAAAAUCUCUCUUAAAACUCUCACCUCCUCCUUUGCCCCCUGGAUCAUUUCACUUUAGACUUGCUAUUCGGCUAUUUUCCUGAAUUUCCCUUCUUUCUCCUAUACUAAAUCCAUUUGUGUCCUGGGUCAUCUUGACUCUCUAACCCUUGAUUUGAUGGAGCACAUCCUUUUGUAGUUUUCUUAGAAAAGGAUCCUUAGGAGUUAAAUGUUUUGAGAACUUUCAUUUCCAAGUUUGUCUUAUUUUACCCUCACACUUAAUUGAUUGGGCAUUGGAUUUCUGAUUGAACGGGUAAUUAUCUUGAAAAAUGUGAAGAUACUGUUGCCAGCUUUGGACUUGACUCUUGAAAAAUGCCAUUUUGUUUCUUUGUGUGCAAUUUCUUUUUCAUACUAGAAGCUUGAACGCAAAUAUCUGUGGCAUUCUGAAAUUACACUGUGCCUGUUGUUCCUUAGAGUCCUUCUGAUGCAAUUUAUCCAGGGAAAGUACUUGUCGCAAUGGUUGUGGAGGAGGAGGAGGAAAACUUGGAGGUCUACGUGCUCAUGACUUGAGUUUUUACCUGUUUUCUUGCAGGGAUUACUCUCGCCUUCUGUGGCACAUCCUGCCUUUUUGUUUGGGUUUUAUGGUAUUCUGGUGUGUGAAUGUCUUGUCUUUGGCAUCUAGUGUUCAGUUAUGUCAGAUCUGCUAAUUCCUCCAUCUUCUUUAGCUUAUAAAAAUAGGUUGACUUGGCUCACCUGCUUUUUUCUUCCAUUUCUUGUUUGGGGUUAUAUACCUUUUUCAAGUGUUUACUCUGAUUUUAAUAGAGUUUGUGAAAGGAACAAGAUGCUGAAUCUUCUAUGUUUAACUGGAUAUCCCCAGAAUUCUGUUAUGACUUGGUGAAUAAUUUUAGAGUGUUUUACCUGUUUCUCAGUCUAAAUGUGUUAAAUAUCCAGGUUGCUUAAAAGGCAGGCCUUCUCUUAAGCUGUUUUGUUGUUGUGUUUUUUUUUGAACAGGAUAUAGCUGAGGCCAUUAUUGCCAUAUCCUUGGCUUGUAUAGUAAUCCCAAAUGACCUCAAUGUUGCCUGAAGAGGAAGGCCUUCAGGGCCAUGAGCAGCCAUGACUUGGGUGAGAUUGGUCAUCAGGCUUCCAGUUUCCCACCCACAUGCCUGGACUAUGCUCAGGGGAGGUGGCCAGGGUCUAAGGUCAUUUAGUGGAAAGAUUUCUAGAUUUCCUUUAUUUCCUUUUUCUUCUUUUUAGCUUUUGUAGUUAUUCAUAACCGAGCUCUUUAAAAAUGUAAAGAAAAACCUUCAAUCCUCUUAAAUAUUCAUCUCCCAAUAAACAUACCCCACUCACUUCCCCCCCCCCACAAAUAACCAUGGUUAUGAGUUGUUACAGCCUUCCAGACCUUUGCUGCUGUGCAUGCAUGCUAAAUGUGGUUUGAGAAAUAAGUAUUCUAAAACUUAUUUUCAUCAUCAAUGAUAAAAUUAUGAAGAAGGUUCUGUAAAUGUGUACGUAUGCAUAAUCGGGCCUGGUUGGGAUAUAUCACAAUUUGGCCAUUCUUGUAUUGAAAAUUUAGGUUGCUUCUAAUUUUGUCCUUUUGCAAAUGCAGCUUUGAAGUUUCUAAUUCAAGCUUCCUUGUACAUAUGUGCAAGUGUUUCUUUAGGGCAGAUACCAAGAAUGGAAUAGGGUGAGAAUUGGCAAACUAUGUCUCAUGGCCAAAUCUGGCCCACUGUCUAUUUUUAUAUAGCCUGCAACUAAGAAUGAUUUUCACAUUUAAAAAUUGUUUUUAGCAAAUGCCUCAUCCUUUCUCCACUGAUUUGAAAGACCACCUAUAAUAGAAAUAUCCAAAUAUAAGUGGAUUCAUUUCUGGUAUCUCUAUUCUCUUCCAUCAAUGUAUUAUUUGUAUUAUCCCUAUUUUAAAGACGGGCGUUUUUAUAAUAUAUCUUGAUUCCUGGUAGGAGCUCUGGUCCUUCUUGGUUCCUUUUCAGAAUUACAUUGCCUAUUUUUGCAUGCUGACUUUUUCAUAUGAAUCUUAGAAUAGGUGAAGUUCUCCAAAACUCCCUUUGCAUUUUUUUGGCACUUAUUAGAUCUGCAUUGAAUCAUAACUUAAUUUUGGUAGUUAAUAUUACUUUAGUUUGUGCUUUUGUAACAAAAUACUUGAGAUUUAGAAAUUUGUAAAGAACAGAAAUUGAUUUCUCAUAGUCCUGGAGGCUGGAAGCCCCAAAUCAAGAACUCUGGGGUUCAUUGUCUAGUGAGGGUCUGUUCCUCGAUUUUAAGAUGGUACCUUGUUGGGGCUGGGAUUGUGGCUAAGUGGUAGAGCUAUUGCCUAGCAUGCGUGAGGUACUGGGUUCAAUCCUCAGCACCACAAUAAAUAUUUAUUUAUCUAAAACUAAAAAAAUUAUUUUUUAAAAAAAUGCUGGCUUGUUACAUCUUUCACCGGGCAUGAACACUAUGUCCUUUUGUGCAGAAGGGAGAAGAGCGAGAGACACACCCACUCCUGAAAGGCUCUUUUAUAAAGCCCUAAUCCAUUUGAGGGUAGAACCCUUAUGACUUAAUCACUUCUCAAAAGACCUUAACUCCUGAUACCUUCACAAUGGGAAUGAAGUUUGAAUUUUGGAGAGAACACCAUCAUUCAAACCAUAGCAAACAUUUUUAUUCAAGUCUUUAUGUUAAGUAAGGUUUUAUCAUUUAUUCUUGGUAGUCUUGCAUAUGUUUCAGAUUGUUGCAUCAUUGUAAAGCAUGUGGGUGGAAAGCAUGUGUCUAGAAAAGGUACUGAUUUUUGUUUUGAGUUAAUUGUUUUUGCCUCUUUUUUCUAUUUCUAAUUUUUAUUGCUGCAUUAUACUUGUACAUAAUGAUAGCAUUUCUUGUUACAUAUGUGUACAUGCUCACAGUAGACCAAUAUAAUUUGUCAAAUAUCACUCCCCAAUGCUUCCUGCCCCCUGUCCUCCUGUUCCUCUAUGGAUAUCCUUUGAUUUUUGAGAUGCCCACCCCACCCAACCUUACUUUUCCUUUUUAUCUUCUGCAUAUGAGACAAAACAUAUGACCCCUGCCCUUCUGAGUUUGGCUUAUUUUGCUUAAUAUAAUGGUAGGAAGUUCUCCCAUUUUUCUGAAAAUGACAUAAUUUUACUUACUUUUAUGGUCGAAUGGAACUCCAUUGUGUAUAUAUACAUUUUCUUUACCUUUUCACCUACUAAUGGACACCUAGGCUGGUUCCACAGUUUGGCAAUUGUGAAUUGUGCUGCUAUACACAUGAGUAUGCAUGUAUCAUUGUAAUAAGGUGACUUUUAAUUAUUUUUUUUAGAAUAAAUACUGAGGAGUGGUAGAACUGGGUCAUAUGGUGGUUCCAUGCCUAGACUUUUGACCCUCCAUACUGAUUUCCAUAGUGAUUAUGCUAAUUUACAGUCCCACCAACAUUGUACAUGUGUUCCUUUUUCUCCACAUCCUUUCUAGCAUUUAUUAUUAUUUAAAUUCUUGAUGACUGCCAAUCAGAAUGGUGUGAGAUGAAAUCUCAGUGUAGACUUUUUCCAGAUUAUAUUCAUUUAAUCAAUUAACCACAAGUAUUUUGAAGAUAGAUUGCAGCUUAGUUCAGAUAUGUGUGACAAUAGAAUAUAUUUUGAAAUCUUGAUACAAGCAUGGAAUAUAUCUUCUAAUUAGGAUCCCAGUCUCAUGGAUGUGCAUGAUGGUAAGAGUCACUGUGGUGUAUUCAUAUAUGAACACAGGAAAGUUAUGUCAGGUCAAUUCCAUUGUCUUUCAUAUUCCUGUCCUUCUUCCUUUCUCUUCAUUCCCCUUUAUAUUAUCCACUGAACUUCUGUUCUUGUCCCCCUGCCCAUUGUGGGUUAUCAUGCACAUUCAAAGAAAACAUUUGACAUUUUUUUAUUGGUUGUUCAAAACAUUACAAAGCUCUUGACAUAUCAUUUUUCAUACAUUUGAUUCAAGUGGGUUAUGAACUCCCAUUUUUACCCCGUAUACAGAUUGCAGAAUCACAUCGGUUACACAUCCACGUUUUUACAUAUUGCCAUACUAGUGACUGUUGUAUUCUGCUAUCUUUCCUAUCCUCUACUAUUCCCCCUCCCCUCCCCUCCCAUCUUCUAUCUCUACCUCAUCUACUGUAAUUCAUUUCUCUCCCUUGAUUUUUUUCCCUUUCCCCUCACAUCCUCUUAUAUGUAAUUUUGUAUAACAAUGAGGGUCAUCUUCCAUUUCCAUGCAAUUUCCCUUCUCUCUCCCUUUCCCUCCCACCUCUCGUCCCUGUUUAAUGUUAAUCUUCUUCUCAUGCUCUUCCUUCCUGUUCUGUUUUUAGUUGCUCUCCUUAUAUCAAAGAAGACAUUUGGCAUUUGUUUUUUAGGGAUUGGCUAGCUUCACUUAGCAUAAUCUGCUCUAAUGCCAUCCUUUUCCCUGCAAAUUUCAUGAUUUUGUCAUUUUUUAGUGCUGAGUAAUACUCCAUUGUGUAUAAAUGCCACAUUUUUUAAUCCAUUCAUCUAUUCAAGGGCAUCUAAGUUGGCUCCACAGUCUAGCUAUUGUGAAUUGUGCUGCUAUGAACAUCGAUAUAGCAGUAUCCCUAUAGUACUACACUCUCUUAAGGUCUUCAGGGAAUAGUCCGAGAAGGGCAAUAGCUGGGUCAAAUGGUGGUUCCAUUCCCAGCUUUCCCAGGAAUCUCCAUACUGCUUUCCAAAUUGGCCGCACCAAUUUGCAGUCCCACCAGCAAUGUACAAGUGUACCCUUUUCCCCACAUCCUCGCCAGCACUUGUUGUUGUUUGACUUCAUAAUGGCUGCCAAUCUUACUGGAGUGAGAUGGUAUCUUAGGGUGGUUUUGAUUUGCAUUUCUCUGACUGCUAGAGAUGGUGAGCAUUUUUUCAUGUACUUGUUGAUUGAUUGUAUAUCCUCCUCUGAGAAGUGUCUGUUCAGGUCCUUGGCCCAUUUGUUGAUUGGGUUAUUUGUUUUCUUAUUGCUUAAUUUUUUGAGUUCUUUGUAUACUCUGGAUAUUAGGGCUCUAUCUGAAGUGUGAGGAGUAAAGAUUUGUUCCCAGGAUGUAGGCUCCCUAUUUACCUCUCUUAUUGUUUCUCUUGCUGAGAAAAAACUUUUUAGUUUGAGUAAGUCCCAUUUGUUGAUUCUUGUUUUUAACUCUUGUGCUAUGGGUGUCCUAUUAAGGAAUUUGGAGCCCGACCCCACGAUAUGCAGAUCGGAGCCAACUUUUUCUUCUAUCAGACACAAAGUCUCUGGUUUGAUAUCAAGCUCCUUGAUCCAUUUUGAGUUAACUUUUGUGCAUGGUGAGAGAAAGGGAUUCAGAUUCAUUUUGUUGCGUAUUGAUUUCCAGUUUUCCCAGCNNNNNNNNNNNNNNNNNNNNNNNNNNNNNNNNNNNNNNNNNNNNNNNNNNNNNNNNNNNNNNNNNNNNNNNNNNNNNNNNNNNNNNNNNNNNNNNNNNNNNNNNNNNNNNNNNNNNNNNNNNNNNNNNNNNNNNNNNNNNNNNNNNNNNNNNNNNNNNNNNNNNNNNNNNNNNNNNNNNNNNNNNNNNNNNNNNNNNNNNNNNNNNNNNNNNNNNNNNNNNNNNNNNNNNNNNNNNNNNNNNNNNNNNNNNNNNNNNNNNNNNNNNNNNNNNNNNNNNNNNNNNNNNNNNNNNNNNNNNNNNNNNNNNNNNNNNNNNNNNNNNNNNNNNNNNNNNNNNNNNNNNNNNNNNNNNNNNNNNNNNNNNNNNNNNNNNNNNNNNNNNNNNNNNNNNNNNNNNNNNNNNNNNNNNNNNNNNNNNNNNNNNNNNNNNNNNNNNNNNNNNNNNNNNNNNNNNNNNNNNNNNNNNNNNNNNNNNNNNNNNNNNNNNNNNNNNNNNNNNNNNNNNNNNNNNNNNNNNNNNNNNNNNNNNNNNNNNNNNNNNNNNNNNNNNNNNNNNNNNNNNNNNNNNNNNNNNNNNNNNNNNNNNNNNNNNNNNNNNNNNNNNNNNNNNNNNNNNNNNNNNNNNNNNNNNNNNNNNNNNNNNNNNNNNNNNNNNNNNNNNNNNNNNNNNNNNNNNNNNNNNNNNNNNNNNNNNNNNNNNNNNNNNNNNNNNNNNNNNNNNNNNNNNNNNNNNNNNNNNNNNNNNNNNNNNNNNNNNNNNNNNNNNNNNNNNNNNNNNNNNNNNNNNNNNNNNNNNNNNNNNNNNNNNNNNNNNNNNNNNNNNNNNNNNNNNNNNNNNNNNNNNNNNNNNNNNNNNNNNNNNNNNNNNNNNNNNNNNNNNNNNNNNNNNNNNNNNNNNNNNNNNNNNNNNNNNNNNNNNNNNNNNNNNNNNNNNNNNNNNNNNNNNNNNNNNNNNNNNNNNNNNNNNNNNNNNNNNNNNNNNNNNNNNNNNNNNNNNNNNNNNNNNNNNNNNNNNNNNNNNNNNNNNNNNNNNNNNNNNNNNNNNNNNNNNNNNNNNNNNNNNNNNNNNNNNNNNNNNNNNNNNNNNNNNNNNNNNNNNNNNNNNNNNNNNNNNNNNNNNNNNNNNNNNNNNNNNNNNNNNNNNNNNNNNNNNNNNNNNNNNNNNNNNNNNNNNNNNNNNNNNNNNNNNNNNNNNNNNNNNNNNNNNNNNNNNNNNNNNNNNNNNNNNNNNNNNNNNNNNNNNNNNNNNNNNNNNNNNNNNNNNNNNNNNNNNNNNNNNNNNNNNNNNNNNNNNNNNNNNNNNNNNNNNNNNNNNNNNNNNNNNNNNNNNNNNNNNNNNNNNNNNNNNNNNNNNNNNNNNNNNNNNNNNNNNNNNNNNNNNNNNNNNNNNNNNNNNNNNNNNNNNNNNNNNNNNNNNNNNNNNNNNNNNNNNNNNNNNNNNNNNNNNNNNNNNNNNNNNNNNNNNNNNNNNNNNNNNNNNNNNNNNNNNNNNNNNNNNNNNNNNNNNNNNNNNNNNNNNNNNNNNNNNNNNNNNNNNNNNNNNNNNNNNNNNNNNNNNNNNNNNNNNNNNNNNNNNNNNNNNNNNNNNNNNNNNNNNNNNNNNNNNNNNNNNNNNNNNNNNNNNNNNNNNNNNNNNNNNNNNNNNNNNNNNNNNNNNNNNNNNNNNNNNNNNNNNNNNNNNNNNNNNNNNNNNNNNNNNNNNNNNNNNNNNNNNNNNNNNNNNNNNNNNNNNNNNNNNNNNNNNNNNNNNNNNNNNNNNNNNNNNNNNNNNNNNNNNNNNNNNNNNNNNNNNNNNNNNNNNNNNNNNNNNNNNNNNNNNNNNNNNNNNNNNNNNNNNNNNNNNNNNNNNNNNNNNNNNNNNNNNNNNNNNNNNNNNNNNNNNNNNNNNNNNNNNNNNNNNNNNNNNNNNNNNNNNNNNNNNNNNNNNNNNNNNNNNNNNNNNNNNNNNNNNNNNNNNNNNNNNNNNNNNNNNNNNNNNNNNNNNNNNNNNNNNNNNNNNNNNNNNNNNNNNNNNNNNNNNNNNNNNNNNNNNNNNNNNNNNNNNNNNNNNNNNNNNNNNNNNNNNNNNNNNNNNNNNNNNNNNNNNNNNNNNNNNNNNNNNNNNNNNNNNNNNNNNNNNNNNNNNNNNNNNNNNNNNNNNNNNNNNNNNNNNNNNNNNNNNNNNNNNNNNNNNNNNNNNNNNNNNNNNNNNNNNNNNNNNNNNNNNNNNNNNNNNNNNNNNNNNNNNNNNNNNNNNNNNNNNNNNNNNNNNNNNNNNNNNNNNNNNNNNNNNNNNNNNNNNNNNNNNNNNNNNNNNNNNNNNNNNNNNNNNNNNNNNNNNNNNNNNNNNNNNNNNNNNNNNNNNNNNNNNNNNNNNNNNNNNNNNNNNNNNNNNNNNNNNNNNNNNNNNNNNNNNNNNNNNNNNNNNNNNNNNNNNNNNNNNNNNNNNNNNNNNNNNNNNNNNNNNNNNNNNNNNNNNNNNNNNNNNNNNNNNNNNNNNNNNNNNNNNNNNNNNNNNNNNNNNNNNNNNNNNNNNNNNNNNNNNNNNNNNNNNNNNNNNNNNNNNNNNNNNNNNNNNNNNNNNNNNNNNNNNNNNNNNNNNNNNNNNNNNNNNNNNNNNNNNNNNNNNNNNNNNNNNNNNNNNNNNNNNNNNNNNNNNNNNNNNNNNNNNNNNNNNNNNNNNNNNNNNNNNNNNNNNNNNNNNNNNNNNNNNNNNNNNNNNNNNNNNNNNNNNNNNNNNNNNNNNNNNNNNNNNNNNNNNNNNNNNNNNNNNNNNNNNNNNNNNNNNNNNNNNNNNNNNNNNNNNNNNNNNNNNNNNNUUUUUUUUAUCUUUCUACAUCUUCUUUAUCUUUUUUCUUUUUAACUUUCUAUACUUCUGUCUUUAAAGUUUUUCACUUUAAAUUUUUAAUCUUCUUUAUCUAAAUAUCUUUUAUCCUAUUAUCUUCCCAUUUUUUUAAAGUAAUGCCUUUAAGAUUAAGCUUCUUUCCUCCAUCAUGAAGGCAUUUUAACCACCUUCAAUUUAACCUUUUAAAGCCUUUUAAUUAUCAUCUAUACUGUACUUUUAAAUGUACUUUUUCACCACCUACAACUUCACUCUUUUAAACGAGGCUUAGAUUCUGUUUAAAUCGCUUUAAUGUUAGUUUACAUGGCUGCCCUUCAACCAAAGGCUUUUUUUUUUUUUAACUCCAUUGAGAAGCUUUGUCUCAAUCUGCCAUGUACAAAUACCUUUUUCUUCUUUCUUCCUUUCUCAAGCUUUUAAAUUAAGUCUAGUUUCCUCAAAAUCUUUUUAAAUGGCAUUUUACAACUUUUUACUUUACCACACAGAGAUUAUCUCAUCUAGAAACAUUUCUUUUUCCUUUAACCUUUUAUAUUAAAAUAUAUUUCCACAUCUUGAAUCUUUUUCUAUCUCUUUUUUAACCGUUAACCCUUUUUAUAAAUUCACAUUUUGAAACAACUCUUAUAAAAUUUCUGAUUUAGACAAAUUAUUCCACUUUAUAAGAUGAAAGACUUUCAUGUUUUUUAUGAUACUAUAAUACUAUAAUUGAAACCCAACUGAAAAUUUUUAUACUCUUUGUAUAUAAAUUACACAUGAUAGAAUCUUAACACUUAGUAACCUUGUUUUAGCAAAGACACAGACACAAAGCAAUAUUAAACAUUUUUCCAUUUACCAACUUAUGAAAAUACACAUAAUGUUUAAAUAUAUUACCUUAUGGAACUUACUAAGUAAGAGUACUUGAUUUUAUAUUUAGUGGUUGAUAUUUUAACACUUUACCUUUGUAAAUUAAUCAGAUGUCUGUAAAAACCAAGAUCUUAGACAAUUGUAGUAAACAGAACUAGCCAUCUCUUUCUUGAAGAAAAAUCCUUCUACAGGAUACCAUGAUGGUCCCAUUGAUAUACUUAAUAACUUGUCUUUAAAAAGCCAUGGGCUACAUUUUUGUAUUGUAUCAACAUAUGCCCUAAUUGUUCUUGGCCUCACUGGGGUGCCUCCUUCCUCUAACAAUUUCUCUUGCUCGGAGGCGAACAACUUGAAACCUUGAGUCAACCAUUUUCCCCAGUUUGCCUGAGAAAGUUCUAGGAACAGGCAACUUGAAAUAAAAACAAAAUAAAUCAAAACAAUAACACAUUGUUUUUUGAAAUGUUCACCCAUUCUUUCUCUCUUCCUCAAGGGUGAGAAAUUUCACUUACCUCUAAGCUUCAGAAGUUCCCCGUACGGGCCACCAAAUGCCGCAGUCUGGCUGGGCACAAAUGCCGCAGUCUGGCUGGGCACACAAUCACGAGCCACCACACAGCUUGUAGAUUCAAACAGCAACUCUUUAUUCCCGAACUCACACCAGCCGUCUACAAUCACGUUCUGGGGAAAUCCACGUUCUCUGCCCAAAUCCACNNNNNNNNNNNNNNNNNNNNNNNNNNNNNNNNNNNNNNNNNNNNNNNNNNNNNNNNNNNNNNNNNNNNNNNNNNNNNNNNNNNNNNNNNNNNNNNNNNNNNNNNNNNNNNNNNNNNNNNNNNNNNNNNNNNNNNCCCUAAUCCAUGAGCAGGGUCACCUUAACCAAAAAUGCCAUGUCAUUCCUACUUGGCUAUGGCUCUCAGCACUCAAAGUGAUUUUUUUUUUAAAUUAGAGCAUUAGUUUAUGCAUAGUAUUUGGGCUCCUCCUAACAAAGUCCUGUAUGCAUGGAAUUCAGUUUCACAACCCACCCCCCUCCUUUUCCCUCCCAUCCUCCUUUAUCCGCCAUUCUCCUUCCUCAAUUCGACUAGACUUGUUUUUGCUCAUCUAUUUUUGAUUGGUUCUUUUUAUAUAUAAAGGUGAAAUUUCCUGUGGUAUAUUUAUAUAUGUAUAUAACAUGAUGAAUUCAUUCUACGUUGUUUUUCCAAUCCCUCCACUCUGCCUCUUGAUUUCCUCCUCCUACGUUACUGAUCUUCCCUUUUUAUCUUUCCCUCCUUUCUUUUAUUUUAUAUGAACUUUCAUAUAACAGAAAACAUUUGACCUUUCAGUUUUUGAGUCUGGCUUAUUUCACUUAAUGAUGUUCUCCAUUCCCAUUUGCCAGAAAAUGCCAUAACUUCAUUCUAAUGACUGAAUAAAACUCAGUACUGAGUUUUAUGUACCACAGUUGCUUAAUCUAUUCAUCUACUGAUGGGCAUCUGGGUUGAUUCUAUCACUUAGCAAUAGUAAAUAGUGCUUCUAUAAAUAUUGAGAUGGCUAUAUCACUGUAAUAUGUUGAUUUUUAGAUUUUUUUAAGUAUCAAGGAGUAGACUAGGUAGUCAUAUUAUGGUUCCAUUCCUAGAUUUUUGAGGAAUCUCCAUAUUGAUUUCCAGAGUGGUUAGUCUAUAAUCCCACCAACAAAGCACAAGUGUACCUUUUUUUCCGAACAUCCUUGCUAGCAUUUAUUAUUGUUUGUACCUUUUUUUGUUUAUUUUGGUAAUGGGGAUUGAACCCAGGGGUUCUUGACCACUGAGUCACAUUUUCAGCCCCUUUUUAGACAUAGGAUCUCUCUGAGUUUUUCAGGGCUUUGCCAAGUUGCUGAGGCUGGUUCUGAACUUGAGAUCCUCCUGCCUCAGCCUCCCAAGCCUUGGAAUUAUAGGCAUACACCACCACACCUGGCUAUUGUUUAUAUUCUUGGUAAUUGCCAUUCUAAUUGGAGAUAUACAAAAUCUUAGUUUGGUUUGCAUUUCCCUGAUUGCUAGAGAUGUUGAACAUUUUUUCAUAUAUUUGUUGGCCAUUAGUAUUUCUUCUUUUGAGAAGUCAGUUUAGUUCUUUUGUUCAUUUAUUGAUGGGUCAUUUGUUUCUUCAGUGUUAAGUUUUUUGACUUUUUAUAUUCUGUAUUUUAAUCCCUUGUCGAAAGAGCAGCUGGCAAAGAUUUUCUCCUAUUCUGUAGGCGCUCUUCAUAUUCUUAAUCAUUAGCUGCACAGAAGUUUCACUUGAUGGUAUCCCACUUAUUUAGUCUUUAUUUCUUGCACUUUCAGGGUCUUGUUAAUAAGUUAGUGUCAGUACCAGGAUAAUGGAGUAUUGACCCCGUGUUUUCUUCUACCAGUUGUAAUGUUCCUGUUCUAAUUACUUUUGUGUAGGGUGAAAGAUAUGGAUCUAAUUUUACUUUUUUACAUAUGACUAUCCAGCUUUCCCAGCACCAGUAAAGAGGCUGUCUUUUCCUCAAUGUUCUUAGCAACUUUGUCAAAUAUCAGGUAGCUGUAAGUAUGUAGGUUUGUCUCUGUCUUUUAUUCUGUUCCAUUGGUGGUCUUGUCUAUUUUUUUUUUAAUUUAAUUAGCUAUACAUGACAGUAGAAUGCAUUUUGACACAUUGUACACAAAUGGAGCACAAAUUCUCCUUCCUCUGACAGAUCAGUGUGUAGAGUCACACCAGUAGUGUAAUCAUACAUGUAUAUAGGGUAAUAAUGUCUAAUUCCACUGUCCUUCCCAUCCCCUCUGCACAAUCCCCCUCCCCUCCCCUCUGCACAAUCCAACUUUCCUUCAUUUUCUCCUACCCACCAACGCUUCAUUAUGGAUUCGCAUCUGCUUAUCAGAAAAAAAAUUCAGGCUUUGGUUUGGGGGGGUUGACUUAUUUUGCUUAACAAGAUGUCCUCCAGUUCCGUUCAUUUACCUGCAAAUGCCAUAAUUUCAUGACAUUUGCAGGUCUUGUCUAUUUUGAUGUCAAUACCAUGCUGUCUUUGUUACUAUAGCUCUGUGGUAUAAUUUCAGAUCCAGUAUUGUGAUGCUUUCUGCAUUACUUUUCUUGGUCAGUACUUUGGCUAUUCUGGAUCUCUUAUUCUUCCAAAUGAAAGGAUUUUUUUAAUUCUGUGAAGAAUGUCAUUGGUGUUUUCAUAAGAAUUACAUUAAAUCUGUAUAUUGCUUUAUAUUGUAUUAUACGUGUAUAUUAAAUCUAUAAAUUUUUUAAAGUACCAAGGAGUGGAAUAGGUAGUCACAUUAUGGCCAUUUUGACAAUAUUAAUUCUGCCUAUUCAAGAAUAUGGGAGGUCUUUCCAUCUUCUAAAGUCUUUUUCAAUUUUUUUUCACUGUUCUCUUUUACCUUCUUGGUUAUUAAUUCCCAGUUUUGUUAUCAGGUUAUCAUGAAUGGGAUGGUUUUCUUGAUUUCUUCCAUGGCUGAAUUACUGUUGGAGAAUAGGAAAGCUACUGAUUUAUGGAUGUUAAUCUUGUGUUCUACUACUUGGCUGAACUCAUUUACAAGCUUUAGAAGUCUUCCGGUAGAGAUUUUUUUUUUUUUUUGGUCUUCUAGAUAUAAGAUCCUGUCAUCCAUGAAUAGAUUGUUUCACUUCUUUUGCUAUUUAUAUCUCUUUAACUUUUCUUGCCUGAUUGCUCUGGCAGGUGUUUAGAGAACCAUAUUGAAAAGGAUGAAGACAAUGGACAGACUUGUUUCUGAUUUUAGAAAAAAAUACUUUUAAUUUUUCUUUACUCAAUAUGAUGCAGGCUUUGGAUUUGUCAUAAAUAGCUUUUAUGAUGUUGAGGUCUGUUCCUUUCAUCCCUAGCUUAUACAGCAUCAAACUAAAAUUCUAUACCUUUGAAAUAACUCCCCAUCCUUCCUCCCAGUUCCUGUAACCACUAUCCUAUUUUGUCUCUCUGAAUUUGACAUUUCUAGUUACAUCAGUAAAGUCAUACAGUGUGUAUCUUUUAUUUUCUGGCUUAUUUCACUUAGCAUGAUGUCUUUAAAUUUCAUCCAUAUUGUAGUAGGUGUCAGAAUUUCUUUCCUUUUUAAGGUUGAAUAAAAAUCCUUUAUAUGCCAUAUUUUGUUUCUGUAUUAAUUCACUGAUAUAUACUUGGAUUGCUUCUACCUUUUGCUUACCAUGAAUAAUAUUGCUGAGAACAUGGUAGUAUACAUGCUAUCAUUUCUUUAGGUUAUAUAUGUAGAAAGUGGACUUUCUUGCUAAUAUAGAAUUUUAUUUUUUUUAAAUGGAGAUACUUUUUCCAUAAAAUGUGAGGACUCCCUUGUGUCCUUGGCAUCGUCGCUUGUUACUUCCAGGAUUUUUGUUGUUGAACCUUUUGGGAUUAUAUACAUAGACAAUGAUCUCAACUGGAAGCUAACAUAGCUUUAUUUCUUCCUUACCCAUAUGUGUGGCUUUUAUUUCCCCUUCUUGUCUUAUUACAAUGGCUUGGACUUCCACUAUGAAGCUAAAUAGGAAAACUAAGAAGGAACAUUCUUGCCUUGUUCCUAAUUUUAGCUACAGGAAUUUUUUAGUAGAUCAAGUUGAGGAAGUUUUUAUCUAUGUUCAUAAAAAAUCUUGGUCUUCAAUUUUCCACCCUGAUUUUGUCUUUAUAUGACAUUGAUGUUAUGGUAGUGGUGACCAAAUAGAAUGAGUUAGGAAGUGUUUCCUCUUCUACUGAUUACGGUGAAUUGGUAUAAUUUCUUCCGUACAUGUUUGGUAGGCUUUACCAAGGAAAUCAUGUGUAUAUGCUUUAUUUUUUUGGAGGUCAGCAAUUAUCAAUUCAAUUUCUUUAAUACAUAUUUGCAAAUCCAAGAAAAUUAUAAGGAUUCCAAAUUCUCCACAUCCUUACCCCCACUUAAUAUUUUUUUGUUUUUUGAAUUAUAGCCAUCUUCAAAGAUGUGGAUAAUAUCUUCUGUUUUAAUUUGAAUUUCCCUUAUUAUUACUGAUGUUGAAUGUCUUUCUGUGCUCAUUGCGCAUUUGUAUAACUUCUUUAAAUAAAAAUCUAUUCAAGUUCUUCACCCAUUUUUCAAGUACAUAUUUUGUUGAAUUGCAUGGGUUCUUUGUAUAUUCUUAAUCUUACUUACUCCCUUAGUGAUAUGUGAUUGCAAAUAUUUUAUGCUAUUCCUGGAUUGCCUUUUCAUUCUGUUGGCAGUGUACUGUGAUGUACAAAGGUUUUUGAUAAAAUCUAGUUUAACUAUUUUUAACUAUUUUUUUCAGUGUCAUAGCCAAGAAAUCAUUGUCAAAUUCAAUUCAAUGAAGAUUUUACUAUAUGUUUUACUUUGAGUUGUAUAAUUUUCUUAUGUUUAUAUCUUUGAUCAUUUUGAGUUAAGUAUAUAUAUGUGUACACACAUAUAUAGUGUAAUACAGUGCCAAACUUCAUAUGAAUAUCCACUUUUCCCAGAACCAUAGUUGGAAAAAAUUGUCCUUUUUUAUUAAGCAUUCUUAGUGCUCUUGUUGAAAAUCAUUCAGCUUUGUUGAACAUUAUUAAGCCAUGUUUGAAGGUUUAUUUCUGGGUUUUCUAUUCCAGUUUUUUAUAUGCCUGUCUUUUGCUAGUAUUAUUUUGAUUAUUGUAGUUUUGUAGAAAGUUAUGAAAUCAGAAAAUUAGAGUUCCUUCAACAUUGUUCAUUUUCAAGAUCAUUUUGGCCAUUCAGGUCCCCUGAGAUUCCAUAUCAAUGACAGGAUGAGUUUUCCUAUUUUUGCAAGAAAAAAAAUAAUUGGCAUUUUGGUAGUGAUUGCAUUGAAUCUGUAGAUAAUUUUUCAUAGCAUUGUCACUAUAAUUAUAUUGAAUCUUCCAAUUCAUGAACAUGGGAUGUUUUUCUUUGUUUUAUAGUUCCAGUAUACAAAUAUUUUGCCUCCUUAGUUUACAUCUAAAUAUUUUUUAAUACUACUAUAAUAGAAUUUUUCUUUCUCAGAAUGUCAACUGUAUAUAUAACACAACUGAUUGUUGCAUAUUGAUUUUUGUAUCCUGAAAUUUUGAUGAGUUCUUUGAUUAGCUUUAAUGCAGUUUUUUUUUGCUCAUUUUUGUAGAAUAUUUAGGCUUUUUACAAAGCUACAUUUUCAUGUAAUCUGAUUAACUAAAUUUACUACUUUACAGUUUAGGUACUAAACAUUUUUUAAAAAUUUAAAUUGCACAGAUGAAAAUUAUUUAUAUAUUCAUCAUGUAAAAAUGAUAUAUGAAAAUAUGUGUAUAUUGUCGAAUGGUUAAAUUGAGCUAAUUAAUGCAAGCCUUGCCUCUCAUUUAUUUUUUUGUAGUGAGAACACUUGAAAAUUGCUUUAAAAAGUAGAUUUACGAAUACAAUAUAUUGCUAUUAACCAUACCACCAUAUUGUUCAAUAGUUUUUUUUUUUUUUUUAAAUUCUAUUUAACUGAAAUUGUGUAUCCUUUGGCUAACAUGACCCCAAGCCACUAGGGUCUAUUAACUUUUAUUAUUUUUAAGAUACUAUAUUUUCUUUUGGACUGUCACUUUCUGAAGAAUAUGCUAAACCUUACUGUAACUGUGAAUUCCAAUUACAGUGACACUGUAAACCAUAUGUUCUUCUGAAAUUGACACUUGGUAUCUACUCAACUCUUGCUAGAAAAAUGCAUGCAUGAUGUAUUUUUUGAACAAAUGUUAACAUUUCCUGCAAAAUUUUGUAGCUGGCAUGGAAGAAUCAAAGAUCAUGGUGGUUCUAGGUUAGAAGUGAGAGGACAUCCUGUUACACAGAUGUGAGUUAGUGAAAUGUGGGCAAAUCCCUGAACUGUACUUGUCAAUAUGUACCUGAGGGUCAGGACUGAAUCUCUCCAUUCUUCUUAUUCUUCACUGGUAAAGUAUGGAUGGUUUUAAACUACUCACAAUAUAGGUAAAGCUCCUCAGAACAGUGAACUUUUUGUAUCACAAACUGAAGUUAUCUAAAACAUACAGGUUGAUGUGAUCUGUCCCGUGGUUUAUACCAGCACAUGCAAAUGGAUGAUCGACUCUGCCAAGAUUAGGACAACUUAUGUUUAUCUAUUUCCUAUUGUGAACUGAGUAGAUGAAGAGCCUGAGCGUGUUCUGGGCAGUGGAUUUACAUGUUCCAAGUUACCUAUGCAGGUUAAGCAAGACUGCUUUUGAUGUUAUCACUGCAGAUACUGAAUUCUCUCCUAUGGCCAUGCAUUAUUUAGAGCUCAGUACCACACUGAUGGAAAAAUGUAACUUCAGUGACCUGAUAUAUUUUUUUUAACUUUUGUACACUUAAAAGGAGGAAAUAUUACUUUCUUGGUAUCUUCAUGUAUUCAUUUAACUUAGACUUGGGAUGGGAGAGAUGCUAAGGGCUCAGGAGAUUCUGUGACUGAUGUACAGCAGAGAGGGAUAGGUGUUAGAUAAUUAUUGGCUACCUGCAGAAUAUGCAUGAGUUUGGGGGACAAAUAAUGAUUUGGCCUUGUACCAUUCUUCAGGAACUUGUUAGUAGGAACAGGAGGUGGAGGGGAGAUGAGUAGAACACAGAUUUCUAACUGAAAGCAAUGAAAAUGUUUUGAGGAAAGGAGCAAGUGUAGUAUCCUUCAGGUUGAUACACAGAUGAAACGGGAGGCCCUGAAAUGUCUUUGUAACCUGAGUCCUCCUGACCUUGAAUGUUUCACUCUGGCCAUUCUUCUCAGGUCUCAUCUUGACUCAUAGGUGUCCACGCCUCAUUUUACUCUCCUUGGUCUCUACCAGCCUCCUCCCUUGCCAUUGCCUUAUUCAUCUCUCCUAAUCUCUGGUUAGGAUUUCAUUAGAAAAUGAAGAACAUCAGUGAUUAUAUGGAAGAACUGUGUCCAGCUGCUCAAACCCACCCAGUUUCUAUUUUUAGCUUCUCCCCACUGAAAAAUAAAUAGCAUCAGGUCCCUUAUGCCAAGCCUUUGUCACAGUCUCCAGCAACCAUGCUUCCAGCCAUCUGUUUCCCCAGAUGCUUGGCCUGUCCCCUCCUCCCAGCUUGGUCCCACAAGCAGCCCCUCUGUGGAUAAGUGAGGGACCCACCAGGCUUGGCAGCCUCUAGCACCAAAGCACUAUCUGCCUCUCACACCUCGUACAUCCUCGGAUUUCAAAGCCUUUACUCCCAGAUGGGGGCUUGUUGACCCCAGCCAAUCCUGUGAUUUCCAAGGGCAGGAUGUUGACUGCAAAAAGAUGGAGGAGCUGCCAUGGAGAGGUGAAUAAACAAAUGGAACAUGGACACGUCACGGGAGGAAAUACAAACUAGUUUGACAAAGUUCAGUUCAGCCCUAAGGUUUAGUGGGUUUGGGUCACAGUCCUCACCUUUGGAAGUCAGUGUAUUAGUAAAGACACCGCUAAGCUGUCAUUAUAUUUCUGCAUCCCAUCUGUUCCUGUGGUCAGAGACGUGCACUUGGGCAGAGGAAUUGAAAGUCUGUCCCAGACCUGGGUUUCCUGGUAUUCUGAGAGGCUCUCUCUCUCUCUCUCUCUCUUGAACCUGAAGAAUGGACUAUAUUGACAUUCACAGGGGAAAAAUUGUCCCACUCCACCUUUCUGCCAUAAGUUAGACUCUAGAGAGAACUGACCACAUGGGUAUGGGGCAGUGAUUCUUUCUAACUUGCCCCACCUCCCAUUCUUCCCCCAUCUUCUGAGUUUGAGGGGUGUUGGGAUGAGGGCACUUGGAUCUGGUGGCAACACCUUGUCUGUAAGUAGCUAGAGGCACAGAAAGCUCCUCCAGUUGAUGCUCUUGUGGCGUGGGUGGGAGGGUCCUAGCACUGGGUGCCAGAACACUUCCUUGCCCCAGGUUGCAUUUCUCUGGGUCCCAGGGGAAAGGGGACAUAUUUGGGAAUUGCUCUUAAUGCCCCCAUAGGCUGAGCAUGAACUCUGUUCUGUGAGGAAUAUGGAAGAAAAGAAUUCAUCUAUAAAUAUUUUGGGCAGGACUUGGUGAAGGGAAAGCAGGGAACAAGAUAUUGGUAAGCAGGUAAUUGAGAAAUGAAAGAUGGAAACCAGACAGAGAUACACACGAGAGUUUAUUUGUCAGAGCUCUAUAGUGUGGUGAGAGGCCCCGAGAUGUUUGGGUGUCCAGCUUUUGUGGGGUGGGGAUUAGAAGUUGUAGCGGUGGCACUAUGGGAUAGGCUGCUGGUGCUACGUCAGAGCUAGGAUGGUGGGGAAUAGCAUGGGAUUGGCUUGGAUCGAUGUCACUAUGGGGCUUUCCAGAGCAAAGAGGUCAUGUCCUUCUGGGAUUGGCUUAGGGUUCUGGUGCCAUGGGGUAGGUCACUGAUGGGGAUGGGAGGAGUUCAGGUAAAAGGAAGUACAGGAAAGCAAAACUUAUAAGAUGGUGGUUAACAUUUAAGAUGGCUGCUCAAAUGUUAAAUCAAGACCCUCUACUUGGUAUUCUUGUUGCACUAUGUUUAUUGUUCCAGGUCACUACCCACCAAAAUCCACAAUUGCCUCUUAUUCAUUGAGACAAAUGAAAACUGCCCAGCAACUUUACAAACAUUCCCCAUGGGAGGAUGCCACUUCCAGUUUUUUUUCCUGCUUCUAAAAUAUUGGAUUGCCACAGACUUGAGUAUUCUCGGGGGAAAGAUCAUGACCAGACCAGAGGUCUUGUUUUUUAAUCCUGAUAAAUUCAUUAAUAAGAUUCAAGUUCUGUUUGUCAGACAUGGCCUUAUCUGAUCAUGUUGGCAAUUCUCAUUUUCAUACCUCAUGGCUUUUCAUUGUACUGUGAUAUUUCCUAUUUACUUUACAUUUCCUCCACACGAAUUCUCUUCUCAAGGGCAUUUUCAAGCAUCUGAGCCAGGAAAAUGGAUGGCUGACCUAUGAGGCAUGGCUCCCACUCAUAGCAGCCUGCAUCCUAGAUGUGAAGGGACACGGGAGUAAUUGCUAUAGGACUUCAGAGGAGCAGGUUCAAAAGAAACAAAGUGUUUCAAGUGGGGAAUUUAGAAAGUCAUAUUUAUUGUUGGAGUUGGCUGGUUCAGGGGAGUAUACCCUCUGGCCUUGCUCAUAUGGCAUUUUUCUUCUGGGAACACCUCAGUAUGAUACUUCUCCCAGAGUUCCUAUAAGUCAAUGGCUAAGACCUUGGCUCCAAAGUAGAGAGAUCCCUGUCACUUUCCAUAGUGUGUUUGGGGAAUCCAAAGAGGAGAGACAUUGGCAGCUGAGACUUAUAUCCCUUUACUGUUAUUAUGAUAGUUUUCUCUUAUCUACAGUUCACCUUUCCAGUUUGUUACCUGUAGCCAACUGCAGUAUGAAAAUUCCAGAAAUGAACAAUUCAAAGUUGCAGAUUUCUUAUAGUCCUGAGUGGUUUGAUAAACUCUCGAGCCAUCCUCUCCCACCUGGAACAUGAAUCAUCCCUUUGUCGAGCAUGUAGCUACCCACCAGGUGGUCACUUGGUAGCCCUCUAGGUACCAGACUGCUGGUGUUUGUGUUCAAGUAACCCUUUUGUGGUAAGCUAAUGCUAUGUUAUGGUGCCAAUGUCCUUCACCUCACUUCCUUUUCUCAGAAAUAUGAGGAUAUCACCUCAUCAUCAAAAGAGUGAAUAUAGUACAUUAAGGUAUUUUGAUGAUAGACCACAUUCACAUGACUUUCAUUACAGUGUAUUAAUUGCUCUAUUGUCAUUAAUCUCUAACUGUGCCUGAUUUAUAAGUUAAACUCUCAUAGGACAUAGGCACAGAAAGAAAAAAAACCAGUAUAUAUGGGGUUUGGUACUGUUUACAGUUGCAGGUAUUCAUAGUGUAUCUCCGAACACACAUCCCUGAGAAGGGGACACUGCUGUAUUACUCUUCUGUGGAUUUCCAGAUAAAGCCUCUUUUUCCUUCGUAGCCUGUCAUGACUUUCUUCCACUGACUCACAAUGAGAAGAGACAAUGCUCUUUGGAUUCUGCUUAUUGGCAAAACUAGUUUUCUCAGCGUUGCUGCUAUUAGUUAAAAUUAGGUUUGGGGAUUUUUCUUGAUCAUCUUCUAUUUUGUCUCCCACCCACUCUCCCUGGGGGAUAAUCAGGAAUUGCCUAUGAGCAUUGUACCUUCUCUUUUGAAUACUUGAAGUUUACUGAUUCUAACAGCCCAUGUCUUUAAUAAUGCUGCUCACUGAAACAACAAAAAGAAAAAGCCAGGUCUAAAAACUGAAUUAUUGUUAGUCAUUUCAGAGUUUAGAGCCACCCCACCUUGUUACUGAGAACAGAGAGGCUCCUUCACAGUUGCUAUUAUUUUGACUUUUUAUUUCCUAACCUAAACCAGAAAUGCAUUGAAUCAUGUAGGUGAGAAACUAGGGUAAUCACAGAAUCCAGGGAAGAUCUGUAAAACCAUGGGCUUCAGGUGAGCCCGCUCAUUCUCCCUUGCCCCACCCCUCAGCCCAGCUCCCUGCUACAGCGUGGGCUCUCUCCCUGUACCAGGUAACAACACCACAAUUGUUAUAGAGCCUAACCUUGGACCCUCAUGGAGGAAUGCUUAUCUUGCUCAUUGUGCAUCAGGGAAGUCCUUACAUAGAACACUGUGUUUUGGGGACAGAGUGCUUUCAUAACGCUGGCAAGCGCAAUUUCUUUGCUCCUUUGACAAGAAGUUAUUCCUCUGUUGGUGUAAGGUCAGCCUAGUGGCGGUUUCUGAACUCUUGAUGUCUGGACUUCGGUAGGAUAAUAUAUUGUAUAUCACCUCUGGCCUAUUAUGACUGUUAAGUGUAAAUUGGCACAUACCAAUGGAAGGGCAGGACCUUCAGCACAUAGUCCUGCUUAGCAACCCCAUGGAAGAGAGUCCCUCUCUCUCAGAACCUGUUGAUUUUUUUUCAACUAUUAUCCUUCUGUAUAAAAGGAGAACCACUUUGAGAUUAAGCACACUAUGACCACUCUCUGAAGUUGACAUUAAUAAAAGAAAGAUAAUGCAGGGCCUUUGAAUUCUUCUUCAAGGGCAUCAGGCUUAGAGGAGACUGCCUGGGUUAAAACAGAGGGUCACUUUUGAUUCACUAGGUCCCUGAGAAAUAAAAUGUGUUAUCUUUGGCCCCUGUACCUGGAGGGAAUUAUUUGGAUAUACUAUGCCAAUUAAGAUAGUCAUGCUUUCUUGAUUUAUUAUUUUGGAUUCUUUUUUCCCUGACUACUUCUCAACUUCCCAUUACUGCUAAUUGAUUCAGUAAUCCUCAAAAUAUUUUCCUGUUUUAAAAUGCACAAACUGGUAGAUUAAUAUCUCCUUAUUCUGAGAGGUGAAGAUUGCUGAUAGUAAGCUGGUAACUUUCCCCUUCACUCAUUUCAAAUUUUUACAUCAUGUACUUAUCUCUUAUCUAACCUCUGGUCCACAUUCAUGGCCUCUUAGAGCAGAGAGAGUAAAUAGGGUUCGGCUGGUCUGGAGUCUCCAAGCAAGACAUGGCCACUGCACUGGAGAGCUUUGUACGUCAUGUCCAGGCAGACAGCUCAGUUUGCUACACAUUUUUUUUUCAUGGAAAGAAAACACAUGUUGUGCCAAUAAGUGUGCUCUAAAGUGGUGUUGGAAGAGACAACCUUGAGGGGACAUACAUGUGAUAGCUAGAUCUGAACCUACAUAGUCAACGCUGGGGUUCACAGGAGAGAAAAAGGAAGGGUCAGGAAUUUGUUUCUCUAGAUUGAGAGGACUCUGAAACGGGUGACCUGUGGUGGUGUUGCCUGAGAUAUGUGAACUUCCUGCUGGAGACUCACCUUCUAGGGGAGUCCUUUUUACUGUCAUAUAUUGCAUACACUGCUGCCAUUGUGUUGGCCAGAAUUCUGUUUGUAAUUGUAGCAUAGUUGAGGUUAAGAUGCGUGUAGAGGUUUCUGGAGGAUAUUCAGGAAAUACCUUGUGACAUUUGGUUCUCUUUUCUGUGUUGUGUUAAGCUAAGGUAUUUGUUAGAAACUCUGGGGCCCUGUGUACAUGGCUGUGGUGCUAUAUCUGAUUUUCAUUCUGAAUAUACAGAUGCACAGUUGUGCUGAUGGGACUCGCGUGCUCCACACAGCACAGUGACCUCACUCUGGAGAGGCCACCAGAAUAGUCAGUGAUAAGGAAUAAAGUCUUCGUUUGCUUUAUGAAAUCUCCGAGGAAAGAUGAGUAGCAGAGGGAGCACAAUGAAGAGCUAGGAAGGAUGAGGGGAAUUCUUUAUCAUGAUUGCUGGAAAGCAUUCCUCCAGCCACCAUGUCAGAUGGUGUUGUGUGCUCUCAGUGGAAUGUCCUGUGCUUGAUUCCAGCAGGGGAGUUGUCUCAUAUCGAUUCUUUUGCACCUUUGUCUUGGGAUUCCUCCUAAUAAUAUAUCAGGUUUACAGGGUGGUUGGCUGACUUCCCAGAGUCGAGCUAACUGGCCCAGAAGAUCACUCUGACCUUGAAUUCUGACCACACUGAUCUUGACAUGAACCUAUUUAUACUGGUUUUUGUGGAGAGCACCUACAGGUUUAUAUGCAGAAGACAUGAAUAUGUUUCAAUGACAGGAGGAGGUGCUGCUGAGUCUUAACUAGAGUUAUGUUUGAAUUUGGAAUGCCUCCCCACAGUCAUGUAUUAGCAAUACAGUAAUAUCCAGAUGUACAGUGAUUGGAUUUUGAGGAUUUGACCUCAUCAGUGGAUUAAUCCAUUUGAUGAUGAAGCAAUAUGAAUGAACUAAGAAGUGGUAAAAACUAGGCGGGUAGAGCAUGACUGGAGCAAGUCAGUCACUGGGGGCAUGACCCUGGGGACUGUAUCUGUCCCUGAACACCCCCCCCCCCAUUUCACAUAUGCCUUGAGCUGAGCAGUCUUCCUCCACCAUGAUGUUUAUGCCUUGGAUCCAGCCAACAAUAGCAUGAAUCCUCUGAAACCAUGAGCUAAAAUAAAUAUUUGUUCCUCUAAAUUGUUUUUGUCAUGUAUUUGAUCACAGUGAUGAAAAGUAACACAACUAGAUUCCACACAUGUAUUAUAUGGGUCAGAAGAAAUCCAUUGUGGGAGGACAAAGGAACAUUAAUGAUACAUCGCCUUCUUUCCUAAGAUCAGAAUAUUGCAAGGAUAGAAGUUUUGAUAUCUGUUUCAAUAACAACCUGGCAUCCUGGGAUGGUGUUAAGAGGGUGGUGUCUUAGUCAUAUUUCUUGCACCCUUAUGAUGAGGUGCCUUCUUGCCGUUGUCCUCAUAGGCUCGACACCUCUCCCCACAAGCUCGCCGACGACUGCAUGCUGCCCUUGCGUCUUGUGCCACCUCAAUGCUGAUCCUGUUCAACCUGGUGUUUCUUGGGGGCAAUCAAGUUGGUAAAACCUACUGGGAUAGGAUCUUCAUACAAGGUAAGUUGCCAGAGAGUGAGUGCUGUAUUCAGCCAAUUUCUUGUUUUCUGUGUAUGCAGUUGAUAGCAUGAAUGGAUUUGAGAGUUACUUUUCACAUACCAUGAAUGUAAUGACAAAUAUCAGGAAUCAUUUCCCAUGUUUAGAUAUGACUGUUUUCUGUUUUUUAUAUACUUCAUCUCUACCUUAUGUGAUACUUGACAUCAAACUUUACUGCCCCAACUUUUUCAAUUAAUUUUUUUUCUUUCCUACUAAAUCUGUCUCAGUGUACAGUAAAAUCUAACCUUGUUCCACUUACUGCUCUGAAUGUCCUAGAGAAACAUGUCCUAGAAGUCCCACUGUGUUCUCCUGUAGCUGUAUGAUCCUUGUGUUUUUAUAUCUCUAACUUGUAGACACUUUUGUCUGAACACUAGUGGCCAAGCUUACGUUUCAUUUGCAUUCUGUGGAUUGUCUCAUUAUCCAUAGCAAAGCCACACCUCCAAUAGGUCAAUAGCUAGUAUGUGGGAGUUGUCAAAAGACUACAGUCAUAACUUACCAUUAUUUAUAUAUGGUCACCAUUUCCUUUGGACUGGAACUAAGAGAUACACAAUGUCCUUAAGAGAAUUAAAGUCUUCUCAGUAAGCUUUACUAUAUCCAAUACAUGAUGGUUUAAAAGAAAAGAUUCCCUGUUCUUUUUCUCUGACCAGUAGCAUGAUAUUGUGUUGGGAGGUUUGGGGAAGCUUUGACAAAUGCUGGUGAUGUGAUUUUACAGGAUGGCUUGUCAUCUCUACAUCUGGGUUCUUGAGGAGUCAGUGAUGCUUUAGAUGUAACUCUUUUUUUUUUUGAAUUUUUUAACAGUUUUUAGUUUUCGGGGGACUCUUGCACAUCAAAAAUAGCCCAUACACAGCUGCAUGAUUCCAGGAUGCCAGGUCAUGAAUCGUAACUGGGGCCAGGAAAGAGUGCUGCUAUAAUCUCAUCACUAAAAAAUCUCCUCUUUGAUCUUUCUGAGAGGUGUUUUAGCUGAUAGUUCCUGAAAAGACCAUGUGCUUUUUGACUAGGAGCUGUCCUUUCAUAAGGAUGGGAGAUAAUAAGGUGCAGAGGAUCUAAAGAUAAAAGCAAUAAAGGAGAGGGAGAGUAUCUUUUACUCUUCUUGCCACCCCCUACCUGCAGAACCUUGCACAAUGCUGAGAACACUGUGGUGCAGAGGGAAACCCUGACUUGGAGUUUUCUUGUCACUUAGUGAAAAGGCUCUGAUUUUUCCUUCAGUGCAUCAGACAUAUUAGGUGUUGGUUAUUUGCAAAACACUGGGAAUACAGGGAGACAAAAAGAGGUGCACACAUGUUGGGCUACACAUGCAAAUCAAAAUGUGAUAGUUGAUUCUGGGUUUUGUUGUGACAAAUGUAUGAAGGGAAGUAAUGGGAGGGGAGGGGAGGGGAGGAGAUGUGGGAAUAGGAAAGAUAUAUAAAUAAUGUCUGUUUCUUUCUACUAUGUGACUGCAUGACCAAUAUGAUUCUGAGUAUGCAACAUGUACACUCUGAAAAUGAGAAAUUAUAAAUUUAAAAAAUUAAGAAAAAAAGAUCCUUCUCAAAUCUAAAAAAUUUUUUAAAAAGGGACUGGAGAUAUAGCUUAGUGGUAGAGCACCACUGGGUGUGAUCCCUAGUGCCUUAAAAAAAAAAAGAGUUGGUGAUGGGGAACAGAGAAAACUAAUGAUUGAGAUGUGAGCAUCAAGGGCAUAGAGCUUAUAGGUUCAGUGAUCCAGGGAACAUCAUAGAGUGAGAAGACAACAGGGUAGGAGGCAAAGCUUCAGGCAUGUUGGUGUUUAAAUAGACAGAGAGAUAUGAUAGCUAGGAGGCGUUCUUUCUGCUUCUCAAUGGUGGAAAGAUCACAGCAUGAUUUGCUCAGCACCCUGUAGAGUUAUGAGUCACAGGUUAUCAAGGCUCUGAAAUAUAGGGUCUGCUACUGUGGACUGGUCCCUCUGUGGUCUGAUAGGAUAUACUAUUUGCCUCCACCUCAGAAAAGUCUUGGGGUCUUGGAAACUCUGAUUCUCCCAUGGAGAAUGUUGUGGAAUCAUUUUCUUUCCGGGUUCUGUGGCUAGGGAAGCUCAGCUUAGAAGCAUUUACUGUGUCAGGAAUUCUCUAAAUGAACCUGUUUGGAUCUCAGCUGCUCUGUCCCAUGGCCCCCCUGAGUCCGGGAAGGUCUGCUGGGGUUUUGGCAGUUGCAUUGUUUAUUUCCUGCUGAGGGUUCUUGCCUCUGAAUGGCUGGGUUUAGAAGUCUUUUGGAGGAAAGUGAAACAGAUGGUGCCAAAUCUCCCAUCCUUGAAAAUUUCAGAUUUUAUCUUAUAUCUAAUUUGAUUGACCAAUUGAAGAUUGGUACAAAAAAAAAAAUGAGUCUAUAGGAUGCUUCCCCAGGCCCUGCUGGGAAUGUUACUAUAUUUGCUUUCUAAAAACUAAAAACAAAAUCUGGAUUCUGACACUCUUCUGAUCAUAAGGUUUCAUAUGAGGGAUUGUUUACCUAUACAGGUAGCCUCUAAUGAACGAGCUAGGACCUUGAUAGCCUGGUAGCCUCUGGCCUCUCCUUUGGGUACAUAAUCAGUUCCCAUUGCUCCAAGACCCAUCUCUCUACAUACAGAGUGAGUGAGUAAACCGGUCUGUAGUGAACGGAGAGCAUUUAAGCUCAGUAUCUAAAUUUCAAGGUUUAAUAAUAGCUGGCCCUUCUCUCUGUGCCUUCGGGACUGGAACCUGCUACAGUGACAAGGAGCUAUUAGUGCUGCACCCCUUUUAUAGAUCUCACCUAUGGAGCCUGGGCAGAGCUGGGAAGUGACAGGCUGGUGUCUGGGCAAUGGGGAUUAUUGAGGAGAUUUGCAAAUGUCUCCUAGUUGAUGGUACAGGGCUCCACAUAGAGAUGCUCACUAAUUCUCAGGAAGUCAUUUCCCAGCUUUAAGGAUGUUCCUAGAAGAUGUAUCAUGGUUUGCUGAAGGAGUUGUCUUGGUCUCCAGUUCACUAAAUUUGGCCAUAGAUUUACUUGCUCUAGGCUUCAAAGUUUAUAAUAUGUAUUAUAUACUAUAGUAAACUUUGUAUAUUAUAAUAAUAUAUAAUAGAGUGCCUUCAUAAAAAUCUUUAUCCUUAUCUCUGUGGGUGACAUGGAUGGUGGAUAGAAGACUUCUAAACCAGACCCUUCCCUUUCUACUGUGUUACCUGCACUGCUCUCCCCAAGAGUAGAAGGCAGCAAUUCUGAGCUGUAAAUCUUGGGUUCUAGUAUGUGUUAUACAUAUAGUAUUUUUUAAAAUUUAAUUUAUAUAUGACAGCAGAAUGCAUUACAAUUCUUAUUUCAUAUAUAGAGCACAAUUUUUCAUAUCUCUGGUUGUAUACAUAGUAUAUUCACACCAAUUCAUGUCUUCAUACAUGUACUUUGGAUAAUAAUGAUCAUCACAUUCCAUCAUCAUUAAUAACCCUAUAACCCCUCCCUUCCCCCCCAACCCUUGUGCCCUAUUUAGAGUUCAUCUAGUCCUCCCAUGCUCCCUUUCCCUAUCCCACUAUGAAUCAGCCUCCUUACAUCAGAGAAAAUAUUUGGCAUUUGGUUAUUUGGGAUUGGCUAACUUCACUUAGCAUUAUCUUCUUGAACUCCAUCCACUUACCUGCAAAUGCCAUGAUUUUAUUCUCUUUUAUUGGUGAGUAAUAUUCCAUUGUGUAUAUAUGUCCCAUUUUUUAAUCCAUUCAUCUAGGUUGGUUCCACAGUUUAGCAAUUGUGAAUUGUGCUGCUAUAAACACUGAUGUGGCUGUGUCCCUGUAGUAACACACAUAGCACUUUAUCAAUAAGCAUAACUUCUGAAGUUGGAGAAGUGAUGUUCAGUUAAUUCAGCAGAAUAUAAGGAGUCAGGAUUUUUGCUUUGGAAAAAUCUCUAAUUUUCUACUGUUGAAAUUUGCUUCUAGCUGCUUGAGAAAUUUUCAUGGAUCUGAGAAGGAUGUAGCCAGGGAUUGGUUCACCUGCUCACUUUAGGAAGACUGUGCUGUCAUGCUUUGCAGACAAGUGCAAGGUGCUACUUACAUAAUGCUUUGUCUUUAAAAAGAUGGGAAAAGCUUUCUUCUGUCUACCUUACACCUUGACAAUGAAGUCUAAGUUAAUUUCUUCAACAGCAGUUGAAUAUAGCUCUGUAAUUCAAAGGGAACCAUAAGUUGUAACCCCUAAAUUGACAAGGGCUAGUCCCUAAAAUCCACCUGUGGCCCCAGCUAUCCUUACGCUGCUCUCUAGAGACCUAGAGCAGUGGGGAGGAAAGAUAUUCAAGGGGGAUGGUUAUAUUAUUGGAACUGUAUCUGUCUUUGAGAGGGAUAAGGGCUCUGUGUUUGGGUGCAGGAUGGUGUUCCUUCUGAAAACUCUGUCUGCUUUGGUCCAGGCAAGGCAUUGACUUUGUAGCAAAGGACCUAAAAUGUCUCAUAAGAGUUGGGGCCUCAGCUCCUGCAUCUAAGAUUUUACAUUGAUAGGAACUUAGUAGACACACAGCAUCCACCAAACAUUCUGAUCAACUCCUCGUUGUGCAUGCAUGUACACCUGCACGUGUUCACACACAUGCUGGUUUUCUCUCAUUACCUGUUCUAGUUUGACAAACCCAUCUCCAAACUUAUCUUCCACAGCGGCCCCUUGCCAAGGCAAGGAGUAUUUGGUUUUUUCCUCCAGAUUGCAAUGAGAGAGGAGCUAGUCAUUUUUUAUGCAGGUCAGAACCUUAACCCUCCUCAUAUUUGCUUCUAUUUUUAGCUGAGCGAGAAGAAAAUAUCUUUUCUCCCUGAUUACCAGCUUGUCCAGACAGUUUAUUUGUCUCUUGACUCAAAUGGUUGUGGACAGGCUUUUUAUUUAAAGCUGAGCUGGAAUAUUGCACUGGAAAUUCUAGAUGGUUGUAGUUAAGUAGAAACUCAUUCCCUUCGCAUCUUCUUGGGAGUAAAAUAUCAUUGCUGAUGAGAGAAGACAGAGGGCAGAUGUCAAUGUCUCAGAGGCCUUCCUCUGUGAUUACUUCAUUUUGCCAUCUGCACAAGUCCUUACUAUGGAGAGCGCACUGCAAGCAUGCUUGGGCCACAGGUGGUUUGUGGGGACUGGCCUUGCCAACCUAUAGCUAAAGCUUGUUGCUAUCUUUGAAUUACAGAGCUAUAUUCAACUGUUUACUGAAGAAAUUCACUUAUGCUUUAAUAUCAAUGUCCUUCACUUUGCCAUCUGUAUGAGCCCUUAAUAAAACUCCUUCCAAUGGAGUUUCCAUGGCUUUCAUGGAUUCUACUUCUGCCUCAUGGGGUCCUCUGAAAGUUGUAGAAUUUGAGGAGCUGGGUUCAGUGGUGCAUGCCUGUAAUCCCAGGAGACAGGAGAAUUGUAAUGUCAAAGCCAGCCUCAGCAACUUGGCGAGGCCCUGUCUCUAAAUGAGAUACAAAAAAGGGCUAGGGAUGUGACUCGGUGAGUAAGCACAACUGGGUUCAAUCCUGGUACUGAUUAAAAAAAAAAAAGUUGGAGGAGCAGGAGGGUUUGUCCAUGGUACUAAUGGUAAAACUGAUACGUAGAAGUCAGUUAAGCAGUUUGUGCAUUUAUCUAUGGUCAUACGCUGCUCCUUUUGUGGCCAUACUUGGAAUCUGAAUUUAAGACUCUCAGAAGCCUUGGUAUUUUUAUUCUGUGCCAUGUUGUCACCCAGAUGUCUUGGGCAUCAGUUGUCCUAGAAGGAUUUCAGGCCAAGUCACCAGGCACAGGAGUCCUUGGGUGGGUGUUAAAGCUGAAAGGAUAUCUAAAAUAUUAGAAAUUCCAGACUUUCAGCCAGAAUGCAUCAAAUGUUGUUUUCUGUGAAUUUUUUCCUGCUAGUUAGGGGUUUCUCUGAAUUCAUUUUGAAGAGUUUCAUAGAAGAUGGGGUGGUUUUAAAAUAUCUUGAUAUCUAGGAAAGCUGAUACAGUUUAGACCACAACCAAAUGCAAAUGAAGUAAUUUUGUAUCUUUACUGAUAAAUGAGCAUAUAGUAUUUGGAAUUAUUUGAUUUCUCUUACCACUGACCUCUCUUUGGCCCUCUAGUCUUCCUGUCCCCAAUCAUAUACAUGCAGAAUGAUUCUGUUUUUCAAGAAGUAGUAUCAAUUCCCUUGAGGGUUUUAUGUCCUGGACUAAUAUCCUGGAAUAGGAUAAGGAUGGGUGAGAGGCUUGCUUUUCCUUUGUAAUAUGGAAUAAAAGCUGUUUUAAAAAAGAAGGGGAAAGAAGAAUCUUAGUAGUAGACAGAUUAAUUUUUAGGGAAGAGUAAAUGCAUACAGAAGUUGAGAAUCUUGAAAUCAGUUAUUCUAAAGUUAAACAAAUGGUUUAUACUUUGGGACAUCCUGUUUGUCUCCUGUGGUAUGCAUGACAGUUUGAAGACUACUGCUCUGUAAGGGGGAAAAGGCCACAUUGCUCUUUGGGUCCCAUUUUCUUAUCUUUACCAUAGCCCAAAGGAAAAGAAUUAUUGGUCUAGACUCAGAUAGAUGUUGAGGUUAGCAUUUAUUAGUUAGCUACUGCUGUAUAACAAACCACCCUAAGACUUAAUGGCUGAAUACAAGAAUUUAUUUAGUCCAAUACUCUCUGUACCAACUGAAGGCUAAGUUAUCUGGAGGCUGACGCCUAAAGGUCAGUNUAAUUUAAAUUAGGUAAAAAGCUGUUAAGGAUUGUUUUUAAAGUAGGUUAACAGAUCUGUUUGUUUACUUUCACCUUUCCUUUUCAUUAUAUUUAAUAAUUCUUUUCAGGAUAAUGUCUCUUUAGCAUCAUUGCCAGAAUUCCUAUCUCCAUCCCAGUGCCGGUGAAGAACUCAACAAGUAAUGCUCAAUCAAAGAGUCAACUUACUUUGGGAGGAAACGGAUUUUGGGAGGAAAUGGACAUAUUGAUAGAUUCCUCUGCUUUGAACUGCUUGCAGAACUUGCCUGGACUAUGUAACUAUCGUUUGGUGCAGCGAAUUGUGGUAAUGCUGGCAUAUCUUUGCUGAUGGUGUCACUAGUGAUGCAAUUUUUAUUUCCUUGCCAGCGCACCCCAUGUUAAUUGUGGUAGUGCUGACAUAUCUUUGCUGAUGGUGUCACCAGUGAUGCAAUUUUUCCCAAGGAGCCGUCAAUUGGCUUGGUGUCGUGGCAUUUCUGUAUCCUCCUCCCUUCUGCUAGUGAUGGUCUAAAAUUUGGGGGCCAAUGGCUUAUGCUGGACCGGUAGUCAGUGACGGGUAUGAUCCAAUUGCAGUGGUAUCAACCUAAGACAGGAGGCUGACGCCUAAAGGUCAGUUUUCCGAUGACGGGUAAGAACCAUAUGUUGAAUUGGACAACCUACCAGGCACGGUCCAUAAGCCACAAUAACCUCACUCCCCCACUGGCACCAAGGUCAAAUUUGGGGGCCAACAGAGGUGAGGCAAAGAACCUCACCCCCCCACUGGUGCAUAGACCUAUCCACAAGUAUGGCUGUAUGCUGGACCGGUAGUCGGUGACGGGUAUGAUCCAAUUGCAGUGGUAUCAACCUAAGACAGGAGGCUGACGCCUAAAGGUCAGUUUUUCCCAUGACGGGUAAGAACCAUAUGUUGAAUUGGACAACCUACCAGGCACGGUCCUUAAGCCACAUUGCUUGUUGUUUAAUUAAUCAGAAGGGGGGAGAUGCUGGGAGCCAUUAGCCAAGUAGGUAUGACAAUUUCCUUGCCAGCGUACCCCAUGUUGCAGUGACAUUGAAUGUACUUAACCUUGCUCAAGGACCAAGGCAGAUUAGGGUGUUCCCGGUUUUAAGAUAAUCUUGUUUAGGGCGUUCCCAGUUUAGGUUCCAGGUUUAAGGUUUAAGAUUAUUCCUGCUGGGAAUAGGGCGUAUCCUGCUGCCUCAGGCGCGCCUGCUUGUUGAGUUCUCGUUGAGUUCUCGUGGGAUUCAGAGAAUAUUUGGGAUUUUGCCCAGAACGUGAUUGGGGCCCGGAAUGUGAAUUCCCCCAAAACGUGUUUGUAGAGUGCCAGGGACAGUUCGAGAAUAAAGAGUUGCUGUUUGAAUCUACAAGGUGUGUGGUGGCUCGUGAUUUUGUGCCCAGCCAGACUGCGGCAUGGGACUGCCUCAUCUAUAGGUUAGCCAUGGGUUGGAUUUAUUGAUCUUAGCUAGGUGCUUGUGAGGGCCUUAGCUGGGAUGAAUUGGCUGACUCCUUUCUGCUUCUGAUAAGAGAUCAGAUUUGUUUCUUAUCCUUCAGUUGACUUGCCCAAGCUGGUUCACAUGACAGUCACUGGCUCAAUAAAAAAUAUAGAGAAGUUAAAAAAAAAAAUUAAAAAAGCAGAAAGUACAUAAGGCCCUCUCUGGUUUACAUGAUCACUUCUGCAUUCUUUUUGCCCAAGCACCUCAUAAACUUUUAAACAAACCCGAGUUCAAGGAGAAGGAAAAUAGCCUCCGUCCCCAGAAGAGAGGAGCUGCAAAAUCAUAUUGUGAGAAGAGCUGGCACAGGAGUGUGGCCCUGGGUAGAUGAUCCUAUAAGGCUGUAGAAGUAGUAAGUCUCACUGGUCCCAUUCUGCCACCUCUCUGAAUCCUUUUCUUGUGGCCAUCUCUCCUCCUCCUCCCUAUAGAGGCUUUCUUUGCCUCUCAUGUGAUGAAGGGGACCCUUGUGUUGUUUUGGCUGAUGAAGGCCAGGAGAUGGUUAGGGGCCAAGUCCUGCACCAAUUCUGCAUGUAGCAAUGAAAUAAUCACAAAUGCACUUGACAGGGAGCGGGGGGGGGGCGGGGGGAAGAGUUGUUCAUACUGUUAAGAUCUAGGGCAUUCAGGCUGACCUAGCUCAAAGGAGUUUUCCCACGGUACAGGUGAAAUUAUGUGCAGCAUGUGGGGCUACAGACCCAGCUAGUAAUCAAGUAUUCCUUUACUUUGCAUAAAUGUCUUGGAUACCCGAUGUUUAAAUUUUCAUGAGUCUUCCAACUAAAUAGAAUAUUUAAUUGUUCUAAGUAGCAUCGACUCCCAGUGUUUGAACUCUUUGUUGUUUUUGAAGUGAUUUCCCUUUUACAAUUGAGUUGAUCUUCUCAUCAGGCCUAUGAGAUAGUUCAGGCAGACAACUUUGUGGCAUUACUAAUACCCCUGUGACUCAGAGAUUGGAAAACUUGCUCAGAAUUGUACAGCUCAUAAGCAGCGAACCAGAUAGUACUGCAAGCCCUUUGACUCCAAAAUCCCAUGUUCUUUGCCUCUUACCCCUUCUCCCUCUUUGCGUUAGGAAACUUAAAUCAUUACUGGCAACCAAUGAUUCCAUUGCAGAUUAUUCCUGGAUGCUACUGUCAGAAGCGGUCUAGGUUUUGCUGUUGUGAUGCUUAGUACUUGUCAUUUGGAGUGUUGGGAAGAAGAUGAGUCUCAGAACUUCCAGUUUUCUGUGGCCAAUGGGCCUCAGCCUGCUAGGUGCAUUAGCCACUUACAGGUCUGCGUAACUACAACUAUUUUUAUGUAAGCCUGCUAGUUGGUGAAGGACUCUUGGUCACAGGAUAGUCAGCAUUCAGGGUGUUGCUGAAUGCUUCUUGCAGUCUUUCUCGGAUGUUGCUAGGUUGCUCAUAAGUUCUGUUUCUAAUAUAAUCUCCCUUAUCUAGAACAGAAAGAAAUGCAAGGAGACAGUCAUUUUGUCUUGGCAUGCUAUCCAAAUGACCAAAGAAACAAUAAUCUCAGGGUGGCUGUCACUAGAGCUGAAGGCCUGUGAUUAUGAUGUAUUAUGAGCAGCAUUGUGGGCUGGCUGUGGUUUAGUUUUUGUUGUUGUUUUUUGUUGUAAAGAUCAAAGAGUGGAAUUCAGGGGACAUUUUCUUUGCCUUAAGAAUUCUGCCUGGCACCGUGAUCACAUUUGUUGAGAGUCAUUAAGGCACUCAGGUAUUUCAGCAAAUAUUCUGUCAGAGUGAAACCCUUACCAAAAGCUUUUCAUUGUCUUGAAAUAAAGAUAGGGGGGGAAAAAGUCCGGUGUUGUCAGCACCUGUUUAGUGCCAGUUCAAGGCGUCAGAGCUCUUUUUCCCAAGUGUUGGAGCCUCAUCUGGAUCAUUGUUUCCUUCACUGACUUCAGCUUCCUGCAGCCUCUCGGUUGCUGCCCUGCUCCCAUCACCUGCUACUGCAGAGGACUCUUCGCAAAGGGACCUACCAAGAGGGUAAAGCUUAGCAAGGAAGCUGUUCUGGGUUGAAUUGUGUCCCCCAAACAGGUGUGUUCAAGUCCUUAUCUCCAGAACCUCUAAACAUAACCUCAUCUGGAAAUAGGGACUUCACAGAGGUGUCAAAUUACAAUGAAGUCAUUAGGGUGGGCCCUAAUCCAGUGUGACGGGUCCUUAUAACAAAGGGAGAUUUGGGUUCAGAAAUUUCAGAGAUGCUCUGAAAGAGAAGAUGAUAGGAAACCACAGGGAGAAAGUGACCAAGUCGGGGUGCAGGCAGAUCAGAUCGAUGCUGCCACAGUUCAGGAAUGCCCAGGACCACCAGAAGCUAGAAGAAGUAAAGAAGGAACCUUGUGUAGAAGUUUGAGGGAACGUGGCCCUGCCAAUACCGGGUUGCACACUUCUAGACUCAGAACUAUGAGAUGAUGCAUUUCUAUUGAUGUGAGCCAUUCGGUUUGAGGUACUUGGUUUUAGCAGCCCUAGGGGUGGCUCCAUAGUGUGUGGUAUGGGAAGUGGGGAGAGGCGGGACAAGGCACUGGGAUGGGCUGGCAGUGACUCCUUCCCUACUCUAGAAACAGUUUGGGGCAUGAAUCCAGGACUGGCCAUUCAUAUGUACCCACUUCAAGUGUUUCAGUUCCCACUGUAGGUAGGGUGGACAGGGGCUUCUGGACAGAUGUUCCAACAGAGUGACAAUAGAUGUAUGCCCAGUCACAACAGUGUCAUAUGGAAAUCCAAAGCAAGACCUCCUGGGCUAAAAGCACAGUAGUGAGGGCCCUGGGAAAAUGAGGAACAAGGAAAGUUGGCUUAGUUUCUGGGGAGCCUCUUGUCUGUCAUGGAUGAUCCAAGUCAGUUUGAAGAAAAUUGAUGUGAUAGGGGAAGGUGAGCCUGCAGAAACCCAAACUCGCAGUGACUGUCCACGUGAGCACCUGCAAGCUGACUUUCCGAUCAAGGGCUGGGAGUGUUGCUCAAGGAUAAGGUGCAUUGUUAGCAAAUGCAAGGUCCUGGCUUCAAACCCUAGCACACAUGUGUGCACACACACUCACACACACACACACACGCAUGCACACACACUUCCACCUCAACAUGCCCUCAUGUCUGUUACUGUCCUGUACAUUAUUCUGUAUCCCAAGACAUCAAUUACACAGGAAGCAGCAGAAAGAACGAACUGGCCUGGAAGCGUGUGUUGCACUAUCAGGCUGUCAGGUCGAGACUUUCUGGGAAGACAAGUGGAGCUGCCACUCCACUGGGGAGCUGCCCUGCUUCCAGCUAUCCCCAGGCUAUCCCGAGGCCCAAAGCCUUUGCUCCCUGGGUGCCAGCCUGAACAGUGACCUGCAAUGCCUUUCUGCUCCUGUCUGUCCUCCUCUGGCCACUGUAAUGCUCCAGCUGCUGCCCACAUGGCCCAGAGAUAGAGGCAGCUGCUAAUUUUAGCCUUAUUUAGGUCUCCAGGCAGCAUGACUCAGGGCUUUUUUUUUUUUUUUUUUCUGGUUGUAUUCUCUUGUGACCUUGCGGGUGUGUGUGUGUGUGUGUAUGUGGCGGAGCAAAGUAGAAAGGUCACCUGCUAUCAGUAAAAUAAAAUGGGAAAUGUAAUACUGUGUUUUACAAAGUAAUUGUGUUUCUUAGCUAUGAGAAAUCUCCCAGGGACCAGAGGCACGCACCUAAGAGAAUUACCUCUAACCUGUGGCUUUUCGGGACAGAAGGAAGCAGACAAUUGAGGGCUAAGCCAGUGAAUAGAACAUUCUACCCAGAAAGCAUUAGGAAGAUGUCUCUGGCCUGCUUGGGGGAGGCUGCACCAUCCAGUUUCAGGAAUGUGGAUUUUUCCUUGAUAAACCUGAUUUCUCUUGUCCCCAUUGUUUAUUUAUGUGUUGGGUGGAUGGCAUCCUCCUGUUUGUCUUGAUUUUGAGUUGAUACUCCUCGGUCCUCUCAACACAUUUGUGAGUCACAUAUAGGAAGCAACCAUUUGCUUUCUGAGUAUUGUCAAUCACGGAAAAUCCAAAAGAUGUCAGGCAAUAUUAAUGGGCAUUAUAGCCAAACCAUACCAGAACAUCUUGUUACCCAAACCCGUUUAGAGAUGAGCUUUUUUUUUUCCUCAAAAAGCCACCCCCCCGCCACUAAGCUCAAAGAAACCAGAUAACUUUUAACUUAACAAAAUUGUUCCUGUUUUAAAAUUCCAUUUGUGUCCAUAGUUACCCAUAACUUUGUUUUCUCAUAUUUGAAGCUAGUGUCUUGAUUACUUUUCUCAUCUCCUGGCUGCCCCAAUAAGAUUGCUGGAGGGUCGGGUCAUACAUUUUACAUUGCUGUACAAAAUUGCUAUCAUCAAUGAGGGUUUUACUAAAAGAAACAAAAUCACAUAGCAAGGAAAUAAGAUAUGUGGGAAGCAUCUCAGCUUAUCAGAGCCAGGAAGGAGAGGGAGUGGUCAAAUGAGUCUAGGUAUAAGGCUAAGAUCUUUUUAUGGAGAAAAAUUGCUAGAAGAGCCUCCCUGAACUCCUGCUGGUCCCUGCCCUGUGUGUAGGAUACAUGAUAAUGAGAUGUAGUAUUCAUACCAGGCAAAAUACUCUACAGGUCUCUGGGGCAUAGGACUUUGAUAAGUGCGGUAGGGACACAAAAGUGAGUGGUUCAGAGAGACACCUACAAGCCAAACUUCCAGCCAACACUUUCCUUAAUAUUUGUCUUCUCCUUAAUUUUAUCAUCUGCAUGAGAAAGUCAUCAUAGAGUAGAUGACAUCAGAUAUGGGAUUGAAGGAUGAGUAAGGACCAGACUUGGAGGAUGGGCACAGCAGGCACAUGUCAUAGAGGCAUAACAGCACAUUCAGGAAAUUCAAGUUUCUUAGGGUCUUAGCAGGUGAGGAUGCAAGGUGUGAUAUUGGGGAAUAAGCUGGAUGAACCAAAAGACCCUAAAAAGCUAACUUAAAGACCAGAUUAUGAAGGUCAUACAUGCCAUGCCAAGGGCUGUGGACUUCAUCCUUAGUACAUGGGAGAAGGGGAUGGGUCACAAGGCAUUUUGCAGAGUGACAAGAUUCUCAGUUUUGAACAAUCAUCUCUGUGAAAGAAACAUGGAGGCCUAUUUGGAGGGGAGUAGUACUAGCAGACAGUUUGGAGGCUGUGUGAGGAAGGAUAAGAGCCUAGGUUAAGGGUGCCAGGAGGCAAAGGAGAGAGAACAGAAGAAAUCUUUAGAAUUCUCCCAGGGAGGAUUUUUAGGGAAUCAGCUAUGUCUUCAUUAUUUGUGCAAUGUAAUGCUUUUGGUUCCUGAAACUGGAAAAGUUCUUCAGGUUUGUUUGCUUGCUUGCUCUUUGAUUUCCCCAGGUUGUCAUAGAUUAAUUUCUGAAUUUUGGAAAAAUAAGGCCACUAUGGAUUUGUUUGUUCUUUGCCCAGGAAUUUGAGGGGGUGUCCAAGUGCCAAGGAAAAUGCCAAAGCAAAGAGAUAGUAAAGAUAGUAGAGAUAGUAAACCAAGAGGUUAGGAGUGUUUAACGCAGCCCCAAAUUGCUGACAGCUGUGUGGCAUUGACAGUGUAGGAAGGUGGUAAGGGACUCUCGAGUCACACAGUUGAGUCAUUUCUAGCAUGGGACCUUUGGGCAAGAUAUCCAACUCUAAUGCUCACAUUAUUACCUGUAACUUGAGAAAAAUAUCUACCUGCUGUGGUUGUGGGGAUUAAUGUAAUGAAUAUAAUCUUAAACAGUCCCUGGUAUGUGCUAUGCCCUUACUAAUUAUAGUCUGUUAUAUUAACAUUAUUCUUCCACAAGGCUCUUUUUUCUUCUAUUAAAAAUAACUUGUGUGGGACUCUACAUGCAAAGGAAUGAACUUGGACCCUGUUAUGGUUUGGCUGGGAGGUGUCCCCCCAAAGCUCCUGUGUCAAUGCAGGAAAGUUCAGUGGUGAAAUGCUUAAAUUCUGAGAGCUGUAAUCUAGUCAGUGGAUUGAUCCAUUUGAUGGAUUAAUAAUUUGAGUGGAUUGUUAUGGAUUAAUAAUUUGGGUGGUAACUGUGGGUAGGUGGAGCAUGGCUGAAGGAGAUAGGUCAGUGGAUGCCAUUAGGGAUUAUACCUUGCCCCAGGUGCCUCUUUCUCUCUCCCUAUUUCCCAACUGCCACAGGAUCACCUGAUGAGAGCUGAGCAACUUUCCUCCAUCACACCCCUUUGGUUAGGAUGUUCUGUCUCACCUCAGGCCCAGAGUAAUGGAGCUGGCUGACAUAGACUGAGCCUCUGAAACCAUAAGUCAAAAUAACAUUUUCCUCCACUAAGUUGUUCUUGUGUUGGGUAUUUUGGUCACCGCAACACAAAGCUGACUAACACAGACUCCUAUCUCAUACCAUAUACAAAAGGUUAAAAAGCAUGUUGAAAAACCGUAAGAGCUAAAGCUAUAUAAAACUCUUAGAAAACAUAACAUAGAUUAUCCUGACCUUGAAUCAAUGGUUAAAUCUUACGACAAUUUUUAAUAUGACAUGGAAGAGAGAAGUAACAAAUGAGAAGGCAUAUCAAUUGGAUAUUACCAAAAAUUAGAACUUUUGUAUCUUAAAAGACAAAGAUUUUGAAAAUACAACCAGACUGUGAGAAAGGUUUUGCAAAUCAUAUAACUGAUAAGGAACUUGUAACUAGAAUAUGUAACUCCAUAAUAAAAAAAGACAAAUAGGGCUGGGGUUGUGGCUCAGCAUUAGAACACUCCCUAGCACCUGCGAGGUCCUGGGUUGGAUCCUCAGCACCACAUAACAAUAAAUAAAUAAAAUGGUAAAAAGAUAUCAUGUCCAACUACAACUAAAAACUAUUUUUUUUAAAAAAGCGAAUAACACAAUUAAAAAUGGCUAAAGGCUCUGAAUACACAGUUCUUCAAAGAAUAUGUACAAAUGACCAAUAUGCACAUGAAGAGAUUUCCCAUAUCAUUAGCUAUUGGGAAAAUGUAAAUCAAAACCUCAGUGAGAUGCCGUUUCACAACCACUAGGAUGGCUAUAGUAGAAAAAAUCAAAAAUAGAAAAUAAGUUUUGGUGAGUAUAUAGGGAAAUUGAAAACAUUAUAUACUUCUGAUAGGGAUAUGAAAUGGGAAAAGAUACUUUGGAAUAUAAUCUGGCAUGUCCUUAAAAAGUUGAGCACAUGACCUAGCAGUUCCACUCUUAGUUACAUACUGAGACAAAUGAAGACAUAAGUUCACACAAAAAAAUUGUACCUGGAUGCUCAUAGUAAUGUAAGGCAUAAUAAUCAAAAUGUAGGGCAUAUGAAAUAUUCUUGCAAUGAAAUAUUAUUUUAAAAAUGAAUCACUGAUACAUGUUACAACAUGGAUGAACCUUGAAAACAUGCUAAGUGAAAGAAACAAGUCAAAAAUAACCAUGUAUUGAGUGAUUCUAUUUAUAUAAGUGUCCAGAAUAGAGAAAUCUAUGAACACAGUAGAAUAGUAGUUGCCUAGAACUUAGAGGGAUAUGGGUUUGUAGGGUGAUGGCUAAUGGGCAUCAGUUUCUUUUUUGAGGAUGAUAAAACAUUCUAAAAUUGAUUGUGGUGAUGGUUGUACAACUCUGCAAAUAUACUAAAAGCCAUUAAGUUGUAUAUUUUAAAUAGAUGAAUUGUGUGGCAUGUGAAUUAUAUCUCAGCAAGCUGUUAAAAAUAGUUUAGGGCUAUAUAAUAAUUGGUCUGAACUGAUGUCUCUGUUCUUCCAUCCAUCCAUCUUUCCACCUGUCCAUCAAUUUUCCAUAAAUCAAUUCAUUUAUCCAUAUAUCCUUUCCUCUACUUUCCUAUCAGAUGCCAUCCUAUUUUCUCCUCCCUUUCUCACUGUCCACUCCCCACCCCACUCCCCCCAAAACCAUUCAGUACUCCUCUAAUAAAGACUGGGAGUCAUGCUACUCUUGCUUUUUAUCAUUCUAGUUUGGUAUUUUUGGUCAUCUUAUGCUUUGUGACUUAGCAUAGGGUGACUUUUCCAGGCUCUGCAGAGGAAAGACUUUUUUUUUUGAUCCAUCCAUCCAGAAACACAUGGAUGCUUAGAAGUGGGGGCUGUUUGGAGUUUGAUCCAUAGCCAGGGGCUUGCUGAAAUGGUAAGAACACCUGGGUCACAUCUUACCUCUGAGUGCUCAGAAUGAUGUGUAGAAAAUUUUCUGGUUUUGUUUAUUGACUGUGACAGCUCAAUGUUAAAUAUGUAUGACACUUGCUCCUGCCUUCUGUCUGUGGCUCAGUGCAGGUUUGAUGCCUGGUAGCUGUGCUCCUCAUUAUUUACACAGUGUUGAGUGAUUUCAAGGUUGACCUGGUCUAUAACAGCUUCUUUAAUGAGAUUGCUCCCCUUUCUGCCAUUCAUUAAUCAGUAUGAUGUCAGCCAUUUUCUUGCCCAGUCUCCAGUACAGUUGUUUCCUAACUUUGUAAUCCAUCAGAAUCACCUGGAAACCUUACUUUUAAAAUGCAGACUCUUGAGCCCGUACACUGAGUUUGAUUCAGUGGGUCUAGGCUAGCACCCCAAAGUCUGUAUUUUAAAGAGUUGCCUCUAGUGACUGAUUACAAUGCUCCUUGUAUCACCCUGAGAUACUCUACCAUAAUUGGUCUGCUAAUGCCAGCAUUCGUUGGCAAUAUGGAAAACUCCAGUUUACCUAUCAGUGACCAUUUCUUUGAGCCUGGGAAGGAUGAUCUAUGGCUAAGAAGGACGAGCAUCAUUCUGUGAGAACCUCCUCUCACCCCUGGAGUUUAAUGGGUAUGAGCUACAAUGUGCUUAAAGAUUCUUGGAGGAGACAAGAACCCAUCUGGGAAAUUUUUGUAUAUCCAAUGGUGUAGAUAAUCCUGACUAAUUUAUCCAAACAACUGGCCUCUGGGUUUAGAAACAUAUGAUAAAUAUCAGAUUUUUGCUCCUUCUACUGGCUCAACUUAGUAGAAAACUUCAAUUUCUGGAGAUUAUAGGGAGGGUGAAUCAGGGAGAGAAUUGCCCAGGUGGGCUGGGGAGGCUGUUAGCUGCAAUGGAAACUUCCCUUGCAAGUAGAUAACCAAAUUCUUGCUCUAAUAAGGUCACCAGAUCAUUUUAAAAUGCCCCUGGGAAAAAUAAAUAAAUGCCUCUGGAUCUGCAUAGACCUCAAGAUGCUGUAUGUAGAUUCCUCUUUUCCUGAUGGAGAUGUGAAUACCAGGGCACCAAUUCCUCACCAUCAAAAAGCCCUUGCAGAAGCCCCAAUUACACAAGGGAUUAUAUUUUUAAAACUUAAGCACAUUUAUUAUUCUCUUAUAGUUAUUUUGAAAUAUACAAUAAAUUACUGUUACUGUGCUAUAAAACACUGAAACUGAUUUCUCCUAUCAGUAACUGUUGACCAAACUCUGUCCUUCCCUCCCCUAUGCUUUUCAAGGUGAUAUACUAAUUAACCUGAUUUGAUCAUUACACCUUAUAUACAUUUAUGAGAAUAUCACACUAUAACAUCAAUGUUCCAGUUUAAAAAAAAAAUCUUGGCUAAUGCCUUGUUAUUUAGGAUCUUGAUGUCCAAAACAUCCUGAAUAUGCUCACCCAGGGAAAUAGGAGGCUUAAACUAAGUUUUAGUUGAAUGUAAGUAAAUACUGCAGUAGCAUCUUACAAAUGUACAUCUCUUUUUACAAUUUAUAAAGUAGUUGCAUUUGCAUUGUGGCCCUGUGUUGUAGAUUGACCUAGAAUUCAAUGACCUGCCAACUCUAUGUAGUAAGUGGCAGAGCUGAAAUUGGAACCUGUCAUCUAGUUUCUUCAGUGUCAUUUUCACCACAUCCACACUGCUGAGAAAAUGCUGGGGUUUGAUAAUGUACAGAGUUCCACUUUGCUAUUCUUCAGAUAUGAAUGAUCUACUAAGCACUGCUUUUAAAAAGCUGUAUUGUUUGUGACAUGAGCAUCAGUCAUGAGUGUAUGAGGUUUUGGGAAGGAGCUGGAGAGUUCUUUUAAGGGGGUAGAGAAAUCUCAUCACUUGACUGGAAAAAAAAAAAAAAAACACCCAGUCAGCUUUCCGAAAAGGCAUUAUUUUUCCAUUGUUCCUCUUAAUUUUAACUGUUCUUGUGUAUGUGUGUGGCAUCUCAAUGUAAGUUUAAUUUGCAUUUACUCAAUAAUAAAACUUUCAGAAUCUUUCCAUGUGCUUAUUGGACAUGUGCACGCUCUCUUUUGUAAGAUUUCUUUAAAAGUUUCUUUAGCCAUUUAAAGAAGUUGAGUCAUUGCCUUUUUCUUCUUAAUCUAUAGGCAUUCUUUACAUAUUCUGUAUAAGAGCCUUAUAGUAAAUAUAUUCUCCUACUCUGAGGCUUCCAUUUUUUUUUUACUCUUUUAAUGAUGUUUACUGAUGAACAAGAGUCUGUCAAAUUGUUUAUCCAUUAUUUCCUUCAUCGUUAGUACUUUCUCUGCCCCAGUUAAGAAAUUUUUACCUGAGUUCAUGAAGAUCUCAUAUUUUCUUCUGAAAGCUUUCCUUUUUUUUUCUAUUUAGAUCUUGGAAUUAAUUUUGUGUAUGAGGUGAGAUAGGGAUCAAGAUUUUGGAGGGUCUAUUUGGAUAUCAAGUUGAUCCAGCAACAUCCGUGGAAAAGAUUAUCAUUUUUGCACAGUUGCACUGUUCAGUUUUUAUAAUAAAUCAAAUAUUCAUGACCUAUUUGCCUUUCAGCAUUAAUACUAAGUAAAAUUUUAAUUCUUGUUACCUGCUAAUGAAACCACCUUCAUUCUUCAAGAGUGUCUUGGUUACUCAUAGAUCUUUGACGUUGGAAACAUCUUGUAAAUUUCUAUCAAAAAAAAUCAUAACUUGGUUGUCUUUAGAUUGAAAUCACAUAAAAUAUGUAUACAAAUGUGAGAAUUGACAACUCUGUAAGUAUAUCCCUUGACUUAUUUAGAAAACAAAGAAAUAUAAAACUCAUAGUUCUUAGAUCAAUUAUAAAUGAAAUCAUAUUUAUUCAAAUGGUGAAACAGACAAUAUAUUCCAAGAUGUUCUGGAAUGUACCACUCAGAUGCAGGGUGAGUCACUCCAUCAUUUGUAAGGCACCAUUAUAACAAUGCCAGUUAAAGUUGGAGAUGCAGAAGUCGAGGGGGAAUGCAAUUUACUACUGGAAAAUGAAUCCCUUGUGGGGUUUGUGUCAACCACCUGCCUGCAAAGAGUGGCUUUCAUGUCGUCCCUUAUUAGCUCCAUUAUUUUUUUCCAUCAGACAGCUUUGUUGGAAGAAGGAACAUCUUAUUCAGUUUAAUGGAUAGAAUUUAGAUACAACAGAGCUAAUUGUAGAAGCAUCUGGAAAAAUUACAUAAAUGAGCCAGUGGUGCUCAGAACUUGUGGAAAAUGAUGUGUUCAUAUGGUAAGAAUGGAGAUGUGAUGCUUCUGGAAAUGCCAUACAGAAUUUAUUUUCUUGAGAUGAAGAGCCAGAAGUUGACAUCUUUGCAGAAUUCCUUGAACAUUUUUAGUCUUCUGGUCCAUCUGACUCCCAAUGCAGGACAGGUUUCAGGUGUACUUUGCAGAAAGAAGCUGUAGAAUUAUGGACCAUUAAUUUCAAAAAGAUCUUGGAAGAGAGAUUCUGACCUGACCCUCCAGUUUUGUAGAAUGGAACACUGAGGCUCAGAGAGGUAAAGUUAUUAGGACCUAACCAGUACUAGAGGCCAGGUCUCCUGACUCUUACUUCAGCGCUCAUUUCAAGACAUCAGCACUUACCAAAGUAGUCUCAAGGUAUAAUCCAUGAAAUAAUAGUAUCGGGGGAAUGAAAUACUCCAUUUAAAAAGGAAUCUUUGGCAAAGUUUAGGAACUUGUGCAUAGCAUGUCCUCUUUAGGAAAUGUAUGAUAUACAUUAGCAUUUUUGCUGUAUCACAAAAUAUCUGUUUAACUUUAAUCCAGUGUGGCCUAAACACUUAACCAUGGAACAGUUUUUGCUUAAAAUGACAGUUUAAGGUAUGGGGCUCUCUUAAAGAAACCUGAUGUAGGUAUGUGGAUCUGCCUAACAGACUUUGCCUGUGAUAAAGGCUCUCUUUAUAACUGUCACUUGUAACCCAUAGGCCACAUCCUCCAGUGGUCAUUUGGAUGCAAAAAUCCUCUAACAUUUAUUAAUUGCACUUGCCUGAGCUUUUGUUUAUAUUAGUCUAUUUAGUCCUCAAAAACUUCUUUAGAAGAGUAGUUAUUAUAAUUUCUAUUCCAUAGAUGAAAGUAAAAAAUUUCCAAGAGGUUCAAGAAUUUGUUCAAAGCCAUUCAACUUAGCAGAGAGGAUAUGAUUUCAUCAAAGCUGGCUGUCUUUCCCAGAUUUACCUUCACUAUUGUGGAGAUGCUACCAUGUGUCACUGUUCUUUUAUAAAUCAACUUUAUUUAGGUAGAAUUUACAUACAAUAAAAUGUCAUGAAGGACUGUAUACUAUGUGAUGAAUUUCGUCAAGUGUACGCAUUGUGUAGUUGCUGCCGCCAUCAGUAGAUUGAGCCUAAACCAGAUGAAAUGUUCUAACUGCAAGUUCUAUGCUUUUAUUCUCAGUUCAGUCUUGCUAUGGUGUGUUGGGUCUGCUUUGUACAAAUCAGGGUUUAGUCAGGGACUUGGCCAUGACUGAAAGGUUGAUCAGUUGCCCCACCUUCCUAAUGAUGGUUUGUGUCCCUCCUGUGCAGGUCACACAUGAGCCUUAAACUUGUGGGGCUCAUACAUCAAGAAUUCCUUUGCCAACUCACUCCCCUCUGGGGUUCCCCUGGUUCUCUCCAGUUCAUAGGGACCUCUUUUUACAGAUUUCUCUGGCCAGAAAGACAAGAUUUGUGUUUUGAGUUUUAGCCCCUGUCUUGUUGCUCCACCCUGCUUUUCCACAAUUGCUGCCUGCUCUUUGGGGAUAGCCUGGAGAAAAAAGAGAAGAGAUGGUGGGAAAAUCACUAGGCUUCUCCAAAUUUUGAUUUCUCCAAAAUAUCCUAGUUUUGUUUGCUUUUUUUGAGAGCUCAGAAAUUGAUAUGUAUGUUUUGUCUGGUUGUAAGUAGCAAUAGAUGGGGGUUGUGUUGGGUAUGUGCCUCCAUAGAGGGACCAGAACACUCCAUUUACUUUUAAAUGUACUUAAUUUUUAUUAUAAGAGAAUUAAUAGAUGAAACAGCUGGACUUUAAGGCCUGUUUGUAAAUACUCCUGAAAAUAAGAAGAACUUUUUAAAUCAGGGAAAAAAAUUAUUCACAAGCUCCUUGGCUUGAGCCUCUUGUACUGGCAGGGUAAGUUCACUUUUUCCCAGUCUCUGAAGGAUCACAUACAUGUUCUUGCCACUAUGUGUUCUAUCCUAAUCAUUUUAGGCCUGAUCACAAGUCUACGAAUAUAUCCUUGAGACCCAGGAUCAAAAGUUAAGACACAAACUCCUAUGCUAGAAAGCAUUGAAUCCUCUUCAUUGCUUUUAUGAAAAUAAUAUCUCUUGGAAAGUAAAAAUGUGUUCCUCUUGAAAAUAUUUCUUAUGUGGAGGAUUUGAAAGUAACAAAACGACAAUGAAAAUGAACUAUAAUCUCAUAAUCCAGAGAUGAUCAUUUCACAUUUUCUCUUUGCUUGCACAGCUUGGAGAAAUGCAUCUUUAGCUUUUGUUGGCAAAUUUGCCAAAAAGUUGGCUCCGAUCUACAUACUGUGGGGUCGGGCUCCAAAUUCCUCAAUAGGACACCCAUAGCACAAAAGUUAAUAACUAGAAUCAACAAAUGGGACUUACUCAAACUACAAAGUUUUUUCUCAGCAAAAGAAACAAUAAGAGAGGUAAAUAGGGAGCCUACAUCCUGGGAACAAAUUUUUACUCCUCACACUUCAGAUAGAGCCCUAAUAUCCAGAGUAUACAAAGAACUCAAAAAAUUAGACAAUAAGAUAACAAAUAACCCAAUCAACAAAUGGGCCAAGGACCUGAACAGACACUUCUCAGAGGAGGACAUACAAUCAAUCAACAAGUACAUGAAAAAAUGCUCACCAUCUCUAGCAGUCAGAGAAAUGCAAAUCAAAACCACCCUAAGAUACCAUCUCACUCCAGUAAGAUUGGCAGCCAUUAUGAAGUCAAACAACAACAAGUGCUGGCGAGGAUGUGGGGAAAAGGGUACACUUGUACAUUGCUGGUGGAACUGCAAAUUGGUGCAGCCAAUUUGGAAAGCAGUAUGGAGAUUUCUUGGAAAGCUGGGAAUGGAACCACCAUUUGACCCAGCUAUUCCCCUUCUNGUGAAAUAUGAUAUAUCAAGAACUAUGUAAUGUUUUGAACAACCAACAAUAAAAAAUUAAAAAAAAAAGAUUUGACCUGGAAUAUAAAAAGAAUUGAACACCAACUCCAGAUACUUUAUACAUAUAAAACACACACCUUUAAAAUAAUUUUGAAGAAUUUAGUAACAGAUUUAAUUCAAUAUAUACAGAUGUGCAGUUCAUUAUUCUAAAACAAAACACUGUAACAUCCCACUUAUUCCAAUUUUGAGUAAAAUUGCACCAAAAUCUUUCCCCAAAAGAAAAAGAAAUGAAAAUAAUGGAUGAUUUCUUUCCUACUAUGUUAGCUUCCUAGAGCUGCCGUAACAAAGAACCACCUACAGGUGGCUUAGAUGGUUCUGGAGGCUGGAAGUUGAAUAGGCAAAGCACCCAUCAGCAGGGCACGCUGUCUUUGAGACUCUGGGUGGAAUCCUUUUUCUCUCUUCCUGCAAUAUUGCCAGAUGUCAGUCCUUUCUAUUCCUUGACUUGAUGUUGGGUCACUCCAGUCUGCCCCGUCACACAGCCUUCUCCCUGUCUGUUUUCCCUUCUUACAAAGGACACGAGAUUUGGGGCCUAUCCUAAUUGAGCAUUUCCUCCAUCUUAACUUGAUUAUCUCUAUUUAUAGAGAUCCUAUUUCCAAAUAAGGUUUACAUCCUGAGGUACUAAGGCUUAUGACUUCAUCUUUUACAUAUGGGAGACAUAAUUAAACCCACAAUACCUGCCAUUUCCUGUCCUUUACCCCAUUCCACUGGGGCCAUUUUCCUCUAACCAGGACACCUAUCUAUCCACUAUGACCAGCAGAGAGGACUCAGACUGAAAUGUGUGGCACAUCGUGGGGGUGUCUCUUGGUGCAAUGCUCUGGUCACCACCUUCCCUGCUUCCCACCUCUACCAGCCUUAUAACUCCUUCCACUCCCCUUUCUUCCCCACUCCCUGUCCCUGGAUCUCUGGUAAAUUAGAGUUAGAAGCUUACUAGAAUUGAGGAGAUCUCUGGUGUUCACAAGAACAAAAAUCUGAGGGUAAAUGGGGAACUUUGGAGAAGAAAUAUUUUUCUUCUUAAAUUUCCAGAUUUUGAUUCAGAAACAGUCAUUGAACAUCUGUUAUGUACAGGCAUUAAGCCAGUUUCCUCUAAAUAUAACAUCAUUUAUUUAAAGCAUUAUAUAGCUUUUCCUGAUGAGGAUUCCUUUUGAGGUAGGUUGAGUCACACAGUAGGUAAAUCUCAGACUAGGCUUUAAAUCCCCAAUGGCAAUUGAAAGCAUAGAAAUUGAAAUAAUGAGUCUGUUUUUGACCUUUGACAGCUGACAGGCUUUUAAGCCUUAUCCCCUCUUCCUCUUGGGUCCUACCUCAGGCAAGUCAAUAAGAAAAUUGACUUGAUCUUUCCUUGGUGUAAGCAGAAGUUCAAACCAUGCACACCCAGCUGUUGCUCACUCUGGCCUUGUCCCAACUACAGUAUAAACCAAAGCUACCGCCCUACUCCCUUUGCUUAAACUGUUUUGAAUGGCUUAGUGUCUACUCUUGCUCUCUCCAGAAAGUCUCAUUAGGUGAGGGAUAACUUUUUCAGCCCUUUGGCGCAUAUGUGACAUCAUCUCUCUCCACAUCUGUACCACUUUUGCAACCACAGAUAAAAACAUUCAAGUCAAUUGAGUGCUGCUUUGUUGAUCUUCAGAGGACUAGUAUGAGCAUGUAGUCACCAUGUAUUUGGCUGGAGGAGACUUGAAGCCAUGCUUUAGUAUUCAGGCCCUUCCUCCCCAGCAGUGUACUUGGUGGAGCUAAUGGUGGGGAGAAGGUUCUGCUAUUGCCCUGCUCUGGGCUCAUCACUCAUUGGUAAAGAUCUUAAAUCUUGCCCUUGAAAUACAGUCUGCUUGCUCAAUGCUAUUUGGGUGUUAUCCCAAGACCCUAUAUCCAUAUACACUUAAUGUGAAAGCUGAUUGAUUAUAUUGGGCACCAAAUGCAUUCUCUGGCACUUAUUUUUUUCCCUUCUAGGUAAGGAUUUAUUUGUUCUAUAGAGAAAUUAGUGGCUGUGUGUAUUGUGUGUGUGUUAAUGUAUAAUGCAGUAUUAAUUUGAAAAGUACAUGGAGGUCUGAGUGUGCAUUAUGCAAAAAUAGCUUGUAUUAUGAACGUUUGAGUUAACAUGCCGGCAUGCAGAAAUGUUCAGGGAAUUUGUGGUUCAGUUCAAGUGACACCAGGAUUGAGCCUUUUAAAACCAGACCAUUCUCAGCAUAAUGAUUCUAUAAUUUAUUCAGCCUCAGACAUCCAGCACUGUUGAAUUCUGUGUUAAAUAACCCAAUUGGUGUAUAUGAAAACAGCAUCCUAUAAUUUAAACCCUUGGAAUCAGCCCAACUGUAUAAUCUUGGCCUCAGCAAAUACUUGAGGAUGGUAGAAGGGUAAUACAGCAUACCUCUAGGUAUGUAUCCAUACAUGGGGCUUAUUCUCAGAUGAGCAUGGCUGUCUUCAGAUAGUGUUUGGAAUCACAUUCUAGCUCCCAAAUAAAGACCCUUUUCCUCCCCAUGUCUAAGAAUUUUGACUCAGGAAUAUAGACUGAUUUUUCAGGAGUCUAAGCAUAUAACAUCAUUGCAAAGGGAAUCACAAAAUAAGCCAUGGUUGCAUGUCAGAUUCUAAAGAGGUAAGCUCUAUAGGCCUAUGUGGGUUAGACCAAUGUAGUCCUAGCACAGUGCUGUUAAUCACUCACUCUGAAUGCAGCAAUGAUUAAUCAUGCCAAUGGUUGAGGUAGAACUUUGUGCACAAAUAGGACCUUGAGAUAGUGGAUGUAGUCAUGCAGAAUUUUUUCACUUGUGAAGAUGGGCUGCUUGGAGCCAUCAUCACACGGUUCAGGCUGUGUAUGCGAGAUGUCUGCCUACAGACAUGUCAUCCCUGCAGGAGCUAUCUGGGGAUCAGAGAUAAGAAUGACCUUGGCCUAUCUUAUGUGGUACAAUCAGCUUGAAGUUAAUUUGGGGGUUAGAGAAAACAAAAUGGCAAGAUGUUCAUGCAGGAAGAAUAUAUUCAGGGCUUAUUUCUCCAUAACUGUGUAAGCCACUCAUAUCAUUGGGUUUAAAAGAUGGGCUUGUUCAGUGGCAAGAAUUAGGCUUUAAGAAAAUCUUUUUAGACUUACAGUUGUGAAAUGUUAAAGGACAUUCUUGCUAGAGUUUUGGCCCUACCUCCCUAGCAGAAAGGGAAAUGAAACUGUUUUUACUAUGUAUGAUGUUGAGGACUAGAAUAUUAAAUUCUGGAACUUUCUGAUGCAGCUCAAAUUUGUCACUUGGGAUUUAGGCUCCUUACUCGUUUUCACUUGGGCACCCUGUUAAGAUAAUAGAAAAUCAGAUGUCUCUAAUUUUCAUGGUUUUUUGGUUAGGAAUUAAUAAUCCUCAUUUUAAAGUCAAGACUCAGAAGUUGGUGUGUAGAGCUAACAAGUAGUGGAGCUUGGCAUUAUUUUUGUUGUGUGGGGCUGCAAGUUCUGUGAUCUGAAACUGGCCCCAUGUAUGGAAAUAUGGAAUAUUAUUCUUUUCUUCUUUGUGGUUCAUCGUCUUAGGUACUAUGCUGAAAUAGAAGGAAUUUUCAAAAAUUUAUUUUAAAGGUUCUAUCAGCUUGAACUAUUAGUGCAUUCUUUGGGUCUAACAGAAGGGAACAUAGUCUGAUUAUUUUUUCUUUUCAUUUAUAAGGGCAGGUAUAAUACAAGGUCCUUUAAUUGGUAGCUUUGGAAUUUAGACAACUAAUUUAAACACAUUUAAGAGGAUUCAGAUACAACUCAGAGCUGCUCUGGAGGACAGAUACUUUCCUCUGUAAAUGGCAAGUACUCAUCUCUCCAGAUUCAGCAUAAUUAUUGCUGCUACUUCCCUGGGUCCUCCUGUUAUCACAAGAAUACUGAGCCUCCUCCGGUCUAUAAUUGGAAGUUAGACAAUGUAUCUGUUGAAGUCUUACUUGGAAAACAAAGAUUAUGCUAGCUAUUUCAAACAAAAGGCAUCUAAUUCAGGGGAAAUAUGAGUAUUAGGAAGGAGCAAAAAGAUACAUUGACACAAUCCAGGUAUUAACAAUAGUAGAAAAUAGUGACAUUCCCUAAGAUUUGGGGGGAGACAGAGAGAUGGGAUUCCUAGAAUCUAGAAGUUUGGAGAAGAGGACCCUGGGCAGUGGCACUCAGACUUCUAAGGGGGUGCUUUGUCUUGUGCUGGAACCUUGGACCAAGGAGUGCUGUAUGGCUGGUUCUCAGACCCCAAGGAGGUGACUUCUGCUGAGGUUGAGAGUGUCAAUGGAAGCUGGAAACUGGGGGUACUGCUGCCUCCAGCACUGGAGGAACACUGAUAAGACCUGGCAGCAGGGAGUCCACUCUUCCCACCUCCUUUGUUCCAGUAGAAAUUGUUCAGAAUCGAGGACCUAAACAUCUUAGUGGUAGGUCCAAGACCAUCUACAGAGGAGCAUGGGAAACCUGGGCCUUAAAGUAAAUAAUAUAGGCACCUGGACUUGCCCCUGGAGGCCUCAAGGACUUGGUUGGAAAAAAAAAGGGGGGAAUCCAGAAAAUGGGCUCAUGGAUGUGAGUCCCAGAGCAACACUGAAUCUGAGGCCCCUAGAUGGGGCGACUGAGGCUAAUUAGUAUAAUCCCUGUUGUGGUCUGUCAUUUUUUGCUUUAAACUUGAAGGAAGACCUAACUGUGAAGAGCUAGGGGAAAUAAUUGGAAGACAUGCUGGAUUUACCUCACUGGCUCAAUCAUGGGACUUCCAUAAAAGGUUUAGGGAGAAAGGCCUUGCCUGCCCUACCAGUCCGUAUUAAAUUGGUGGGUUGAUGGGAUGGAUAGAUAGGAGAAGGAAGGAAAGGAAGGCAGUGAAAGACAUUUGUCCCUGGCUCUCCAGCUGAAGGGUCCUAUAGAGUAAAAGCAGAGGAAGUCCUGCCUGGCUCACUGUGAACCCAUUAUAGAGAUCGUGAUGCCAUAAAUUCAUUUUUAUUUCCUUAGUUAAUGAGGUUUCAGAAAUGGUGAAACUAGAGCUGCUCUGGAGGACAGAAGCAGGUGCCUGUCAUUUUCUUUGCAUAAAUUCCUGCUGUGCACACCAGGAGCACUCGUGGUGCCUGGCCAUCACAGCCAGCUCCUGGCUAAGCAGGCUGUGCUGGGCCUGUCCCUUCUGUGUCAACUCCCCUCUGAGUCAGUGCCCUUUUCCUCACUCUCCUGUAGACUACUGCAGAACAUCCUCCAUGCUGAAUACCAUAAUAAUGACCUCCCUCCUAUUAAACUGUAAGAAAAUAGCCCCAAACUGGUAGAAAAAUGGGGAAAAGAUGUAAACAAAUAUUUCCUGGGAAAAAGAAAUACUGAAACAAGUGGAAAGAUGACCAACUGUUUUCUUUUUCUCACCCUUGGUGCUGGAAAUAGAACCCAGGCUUACACACAUGUUAAGCACAUGCUCUACCACUGAACUGCACCCAGCACCUCAGCCUCCCCCUUAAUGAGAAAAAUGCAAAUUCAGAGUGUGACAAUGUGCUGCCCCAGGUUGGCAUAGAUCUAGCAGCUUCCCUUCCUACAUUCAGGCAGAAAUAUAAAGUGGUGACUCUUCUUGAGAAUGGUUUGCAAUACCUAUGAAAAGUGAUCUGGCAUUUUCACUUCUAGGAUUUUACCAUUCACGUAUAAUUUCACAUGUAUGAAAUGAGAUAUGUACAAGAGUAUUCCAUGCUGCGUUACUCAUAAGAGCAACAGAUUGGAGUAGACACAGGUGUAUCAGGCCACUGAGUAAAUGUAUGAUGGCACGUUCAGCAGAAUUUUUCACAGGCAAUAGUAUCUGUGGUAUUUGCAUUCAAGUACAAUAUGUAUUUAAGAAUGAAAGGUUAUAUUUUAUAGUUUUGUGCAUGGAAUAUCUAGGAGGACAAAUGAGGAGCUGGAAAGGAACCUCUAGGGAGAGAGGAAUUGAGGGCUUGGAUGUGUGGGAGUGGGAGGGCAUUUCUUUUCCCUAAUUUUUGGAAUUUAUAUUAUGCCUUAUCUGUCCACACCACCCACCCACCCCCCAAAAAAUAGAAGAUGAAAUGGGGGUGGGAGUUGUUGGUCCUUUCUAAGUCUUGCUGGAGGACACCUGAAGAGGACAGGAGCUUUGAAGGCAGGCUGUCUCCUGUGGAGGGAAGGGUAGAUGAAACUACUAGAAAGUGGAAUCUCCCCACUCUAGCAUCACAGCGUUCAUCUCCAUGUUUCCUUAGCACUGUUCUCCCACUAGCCGGGCUCUCAGUUCUCUGGAGCCUGCACCACAAAUGGCUAUGCCCUGUGUGCUUGCAGGCCCCCUCCUCUCAGAAGCCAGCUCUUCUCCUUCCAGACCCCCAACUCUUGGCAUAGCACUCAGCACAUGGGGAAAGCUAAGAAAUGUUACAGCAACUUUUCAUUCUUUCACAUUGGGAACACCCUGGGGUCAUGAUUUGUCUUUUCGUAUCUAAUUCUUGUCUCGGUGUAAGUCAGCCUUUUACUCUCUGGUAUCCCCUGAAUGUAACCUAGUACCCCGUAUGUAGUAAGAGCUCAGUAAAUGUUCAAUAAGAAUCACAACAAUGAUUAAUCUUAGAUCCUUCCCAGCCAAAUGGCAAGAACAGAGCCACAUUUUCCCUGUGGAUAUCAGGCAGCCUCUAGGAAGGGGAGGUGGCAGGCUCUGAAUGCAAAGCUUCUCCAAGCCUAAAUUAGCAUUUGACCUAUGGGUAUUGUCAGAAAUUGACUAGGAACAUGCAGAGGGGGACUGUCACAGGUUCUUCUGGAGCCAUGACCUCAAGCUCCAGGUGCUGAGACAUCAUUAGGAAAAACUGGAUAGAUCCAGGCCACAUAGCUGACCCUUGCGGACAUUGCCUGUCACUUGAGCACAAUCAGAGAGCAGAUGGAAGGCUGGUUCCACGCCCUGAAGUGACCCACAACUGAGGGAGUAUCUGGAAACCCUACAAGGAGUCCAUCAUAUAAAUAUUGUGCUCUGAGGUCACAAACAUCCACCAGAUGCUGCUGCAGCAGCUGAGACCCCUUCCCUGGAGGCCAGUAAUUAACCCCAUGUAGAUGCUACCAGAAGAGAAUAAACAACUGGGAAAAAAAAUUCUGAAGAAUUUCAGCCUUCCUGUCCCUCUGCUCUCUGAACAGGCAGUACAAGGAGGCAAAUGGUGCCAACAUACCCCAGGAACAUAAAAGAGCUCUGCCCAGAUGCUUGGGAUUCACUUCUCCUCCACCCUCUGUAUUGUCUUCUCUGCCCCUGUGAUCAACUGGCUCCAGGUGUUGGAUUCCAAGCAGAGUCACAGGUGGAAAGAAGAAAAAAAAAAAAAACUUCCCUGUGAACGUGUCUCAAAUUGCCCAGUAUUUGCUCCUGCCAGGUCUCCUAGAGGAUUAGGAAAUCCAGGCUGCCCAAGGAGGUAGGGGGGGCCUCAAAGGAAUGAGGGGGCACCACCCCCUCCUGGUGUGGUGUGGUGUAUCUGGCAAUACUUGCCUGCUGUCCCCAGCAGACCAACCCUUGGGGCCAUCAUCCAGAACAGAGAGCCAAAGGGGAACACAGUGUUCUUCAGAGUGAGGUCUUUUAGGCACAAAAAUGUCUUUGUCACCCUAGUUGAAAAAAUUAUGUGAGUCAUUGUAUACGUCAGGUAGAUAGCCUCAUAAGCACGUCACUAAAACUGUGCCGUGUUCUUCUGACGUUGCUGCAGUGUGCUGGAACAUUGCCUUCUGUUCCAUGAUGGGACACCCCCUCCCCCUCCUCCUGACCAAGUGGUCCCUCGGGAUGUGUGCUUGUCUUUUCAUGCACUUCCCUGGGGAAGGAAAGAUGACUAGGGGAUGUGAAUAUUUUAGGACUAUAAUCUCUUAGAAUCAGAAGGGCCUAAGGAGGAGCCUCCCAUCAGAGGCAGACAUUUUUUGGGAAGUCCUUCCUACUGAAGAGUUGCUCAAAGUUCCUCAAAGCCAAGUGCUGAGAACUCAGGUGCCCACUCUUCUGUAGGCUCUAACCACUAUAGAUUGUCUUUUGUAGUAACUUCUUGAAAAUCUGCCUCUCAAAACUUUUACCUGCCGGUCUCAUUUUGUCAUCUGGAGUGAUGUGGCAUAAGUGUAAUUCCCUCUCUGUGUGACUUUGUGGCCUUCUUCCAGGCUGAAUGUUGGUUUAUCUGUAUGCCUAAAUAGCGGACCCUUUCUAGACCUCCUGGAAGUGGCUUAUGUGUGACAGAGCUGCUGGUUAGGCGUGGCGCUUGGAAUUGGUCAGCCUUGUUUGAGUCUAUAGUCAUGUGCAUGAGCUUUUACUUAUUCUCAGGCUGAGCUAAGCUAUGUUCCCCCACUAGUCCCCUGAUUCCCAUGUGGCCUGAGAUGACAACAGCAGUGACCGUGGCUACUGUCCAGGGCCAGGCAGCCAUGCUCCCACAUGGCUCCAUAAUCUAUGCUCCUGCUGUGGGUUAAUCUGGGGAAGAGCAGCUAUGGUGUCAGCAACUCUGACUCUAAGCAAAGCCCUUGGUCUCUGGAGUGAGUGACUUUGAUGGAGGGCCCUAUGGGGUCAUUUCCCUCCCCUGAACAAUGACAUAAGAGCCCAUAUUUCAUCCCUGGGCAAUUCUGAUGCCUCUUUAGCAGAGAUAUCUUGACAUUCAUUUGACCUGUCCCUGUGCUGCCACCUCCUGAUGCCCAGGACUGCCUGAGUGGUCUUUGCUCCUGAGGGAUAAGCACCCUGCUGCCUGUGAGCUGGAGGCUCGAGGGGUAGUUGUAGACAGUGCCACCAUCAUAGCAUCCCCUGAGCUAGGACACUCUUCUCAUCCAUCUCCCACACCCUUUAUUAUUCCAGGACCUAGGAGAUGAGCUGCCUUUUCCAAAUAGCAUUUGUAAAGUUCAAACUAUAUUUUUCUGAACUCAUCUCAAAAUUGUUCUGUGCUUCUGUCAAGUUCCUUUGGAGGAAGGCAAGGGGAGGCUCACGUAGUUAAUCAACACCAAAGAGACAAUGGACUCAGUAUUCUCCAAAGAAACCCUGGCCACCAGCUGAAUCCCAGACACAGCCAGCCUGCCUGUGACUAGCCCGUAGGAGCAGGGGGACCCUGGAGUGGGCCUGACUACUUGGCAGCAAACACUGGAAGAUAGUUACAGAUUUAAGUCUUGUUCCCUGAUACCUCCAGCUUUCAAACCUAUCAUGCUUCUCAGCAUGUUGAUGAGCAAACUAGAUUUUUGCAGACACAGCUACUGGGUGCAGCAAGGUAAGAACAAAGCCAUCUUUGACAGCAGGCAGGAACAUUCCCUUCCUCGUCCCAGUGGUGUCUGGCAUUCAUAACCCACAGUGGCUUCUGAGAGCUCUGGGAGCAUCCAGCUGCUGCUGCUGGGAGUUUGGUCUUAGCGUUCUGUUCCUUGCUUCAAAAUUCAAGUCUAGUAAUUUGGAAUUCUUUCACAACAGCUUUAGAAGAGGAACAUGUCAGAUGCACUUGCUGAUGCCAUCUUUUCAGAUAUACACAAAGUUCAGACAUCAUUCUUUCUCUUUGCCCUCUCUCCCCUAUUCCACUCCUGGCAGAUUGACUUGGGGGUGGUAGGAAUUGGGGUGAGUGGAUGUGUUCCUGCACUGCUGUCUCUUGGUAAGUCUAGGUGAUCAUGGUCAGUAAAUGCCAGAUGCCUCUUCCUCCAAGACACAUCCACAGGAGUUGAUGAUGCCUAGACUGUGGGCACUCCUGCCAGUUGACUGAGUGUCCUACAGGCUGGGAAAAUGGAGGCCAAAUGGACAUAUGGGGUGUGGUUUCUUGUACAUGGUCUUUGCCACGAUCAUGAUUUUCAGUUAUCUGAAGUAAGCCUUGGCAGUCUUCUAAAUGAGUACUCUGAAUUAACAAUGCAUAUGUUUCUUCAUUGACCAAUUUACCAUGCAUGCCCUGGUCCCAGUCCCCUGGGAAGAAGGCAGCAGAUUCUUAGGCACUUAGAUCUGGUCCAAAGGAAGAAUCUGUCAUUGUGUCCUGGCUCACUGGCCAUCCUGUCCCUGUCCAUGUUCCCCCAGGAACAGGAAACUCACUCUUUUGGUUGGCUUCAGUGCCAGAGUGCUUCAGCUGGCAAAGUGUCCCUUUGUCCCCUUCACACCUGUUCCUUCCUCCUAGCCCUGUCCUCUAUGUGCUCAGGUGUCUUCUCGGCUCUUCCAGGGGUAGAUGUUUAUGUUUGGGGACCAGCCAUUUUCUCUUCUCCUUAGUCUUUGUGUUUCCAGGCAAAUGUCACUAGAUCUAUCAGCCACUCUUCCUGUAACAUGGUUCCAGACCUUUCCUAAUUCCACCUUUGUAUGGUGGAUUUGGAAACAAAAAGUGCUAAGUUCAACUGUUUCUUUAUCUUGUUCAAUUUUAUCUUAAAUAUUAGUGUCAGCCUAUCAUCCCAGCCUACUCAGACUUUGAGAAUCCCGUCUCCAUCCUGUUUCCUCCAUGCCUUUUGUCAUCUCCAUGUCUGGAUCACAGAGCAGUAGUGGAAGUGAACUUAUGCUAUGGGUGAAAUGCUUGGUGUUCCUGGUCUGCCCUCGGGCUUCAGUGGCAUUCUGAUAAGGCCUCAAAUGAAGGUGCAGACUAUGCCUGUGACAAGAAUUGAGGCUGCCUGUCUAAAUGCUAAGCUCGCAGUAGGUGCUUCAUAAAUACAAUAGACCCAUCUUGGAUGUAUUUUUUCUGAGAUUGUAGUAAACUGUGGUCAAUUUCAGCCCAAACAUCUUAAUGGAAAAUUACAGAAAUAAACAAUUCACUAGGUUUAAAUUGUAUGCUGUUCUGAGUAUCAUGAUGAAAUCCUGUGCCAGCUUGCUUUGUACCUGGGACAUGAGUUACUCCUUUGUUCACUGUAUUCACACUGUACAUGUUUCCUACCCAACAUCCUCAUGACUCCAUAAUUACCCAAAGCAGAUGAUCCUCCUUGUGAUAGAUCGUCAAAAGACCUAUAGUAUCCCAACACCAUGUCACAAUAUCUAUGUCACUUAUCUCACUUCAUCUUGUCAGGUAGGCAUUGUAUCAUCUCAUGUCGCAAGAAGCAGGAAUACAGGAUAAUAAAGUAUGAACAGAGAGAGAUGCCACAUUCACAUAACUCUUAUUACAGUACAUUUAUAAUUGUCUUUAUUGUAAAUCUCUUAUGGCACCUAAUUUUUAGAUAUUGUAUUAUGUAUAAGAAAUAGCAUAUGUAGGAUUGAGUACUAUCCACAGUUUCAGGCAUCCCUUGUGGGUCUUAGAAUGUACUCCCUGCAGAUAAGGAAGGAUGGCUAUACAGGUGUGGGUGAGUGGUUGUCAGGGUAAGGAGCCUGACUCACAGCGCACUGCCCCUUUGUUUGAGGAAAGUGGCUUUCUUAGCUCUUUUGCUAUGCAGCAUCUGCUGUGUUAUAUGGCAUGUCAUGAAUUACCAAUGAACCAUAGUCCUAAUUAGGCUGUAUUAGAAACCCAAGUUAGAGAAGAGAAACAUCUGUGGAAAAAAAAUGUUCCUACUGUGCAGCCUCUGGCCCCAGUGGCUGAAAUUGGGCUGUGGCAUCAACUGCAGAGGACAAUUUUGUGGGAAAUAGGUCCCCAUUGAUCCUAGAGAGGGAGGAAAAAAUGUGCAUUUUCCAGUACCACCUUCUGCUUGUGCUGUCUGAAUAAGAAAAGUGGCUCUGGCUUAUUCUUCCCGCUUUCUCAAUUUCAUGUGAAAUGAUUUUACUUGAUGGCAGUGAGUGCUUCGCUAAGUGUCUGCCUGCAGGGCUUGUAGGGGGAGCUGGGGAAGGAUGAAAAAUGUGGCGGAGGUUGGCUUCAUCAGGAUGUGAAAUUGACUGUGAACAAUGUGAUUUAUUAAAGACCACUGUUGGUGCUGGUUACAAUGUGCACAUGGCACCUAGCAAGGGACUCUUGUGCAGAACGGAGCAAGCUCCCUGAGGGUGACCCCAGCUACCUGCUUCCUUCAUCUCCCUGCUGAAUCCCCUAUGGAGUAUCAGCCAAUAUCAGGGCGUAAAUAAUUGUGCUUUGGCAAUUUUAAUAAAGGGUCAUUCAGGUACUGGGAACAUGCUCUGCAAUGCCCCUGGUCUAAAUUAAGCAGUAACCAAGACAAAGAAUGUAAGCAUGCCCACCCAUACUUCUUCUUCUGUCCCCUUACGUAGAGAAAUAGAGGCCCCAGGAGGUGGGCUGACCCAAGUGAAUUAGUGAUGGCUGAGGUCUGAGAAAACAAACAUUUUGCUUCUGCCUAUUAUGAGAUGAUCACCAGGAGUAGGGGAAUGGCAGGAUAUUUACAGGCUGAGGAUUUAAAGGAAGAGAGACCUGUUAGAAGGCAGAGGAACCUGGUUUGAGUCUUUCCAUCAGGUGACCCAAAGCAACUAUUUCUGAGCUUUGGUGGCCAAAGGAGUUACACAGCCUCAAGCUCAAGUGUAGCUUGAUGACAAUUAGCUGUUAGACCCUGGGAAAGUGACUUCACUCCUUUGAGCCUUAAUUUCCAUAUCUGUGAGAACUGAGAAAUGGAGCUAACAAUACUUGCCUGAGAAGGAGGUUGUAGGACUGAAAUGAGCCAAGCAGAGUACUUGGCAACAUAUAAUGCUCAGUAAUCUCCUCUGGUCAUGAGAGUGCAAUCUAUUAACAAGCUCCGUCAUUAGAAAGCCCUUCCCUUGGCUUUCUUCAGGUUCCCCUAGAAUAGUGGUUUCCAAAGUGUGACCCCUGGAUUAUCAACUUUCACAUCACCAGGGAACUUGUUAGAAAUGCACAUUCUCAGGACUGCCCAGACCUGCUGCAUCAGAAACUCUGGGGUAGGGCCCUGUAAUCUGGGUUUAGCAUGCCUUCCCAGUGAUGCAGGUGCAGACUAUUUUAGGGUUCCCUGCUUCAGUUCUAAACACACAAGAACCAUCUAGUUCUUCUCUCUCAGGAUAUAAAAGAGCAGAGUUUUUGAAAACUCAGGCCUAGAAGCCUGGGUUUGAGUCCCAGGUUUGUAACUUACCUAAAGGUCAGAAACUUUCAGUAGAAUUCUAAAUUAUCAAGAGCCCAUUCCUCAAUAUCUGUCCAUAUCCCCAUCUGUUUAGAAAUAGGCAUACCAAUUUAUAGGCUUAGAAAUCUGGGCAGCUGUAUCCUCCCCGUGUCCAUCCUUCAAUAAGGGAGCCAGCCCUCUGACGGGAAAAGGUUCCUGCCCUAUUGCUUUAUUAAAAUUAAAGCUCUCAAUUAGCCCUGGUAGAAGGACUUUAGGCUUAGGACUAUUUGAUGCAUGGCUCCAGAAUAUCUCCUGGCUACAGCUACUGGAGUAAAUAUGAUUUAAAUAAAGCACCUUAUCAAUUCCCCUCACCAUAUCUGAACAUUGUUAAACAUAAAGUGCUGUCAGGAGCCAGUGAUUUUAAUAAAGGCAGUGUGCCUAAAGUUAUCUGAAUAAUUAAUGGAUGAUGGUAGUGAACUUGGCGGGAUGGUGCAGAAUGUCAGGGCAACGGUGGGGAUGUCUCCAAGACUUGAGCCAGCAUGCCAGGAGCUGGGGUCUGAUGCAGGAGCAGGUACAUGAGACCUCAGACAUCAUCCCUUUUCUCAUAUCAAGAGUAAUCAUAAGGGAGAGGCUUGGACUGAGGCUUUCAUUAGUCUUUAGGCAGCAUGGCAGGAUAGUCAACCAUGAGGGUACCAAUCAUCCAAGGCUGUGCUCAAGGUCAGUUAGAGGGAAUCUAUUCUUUGGCUUCCAAAUCUGUCAGUUACCACGUUCCAUGAUUCCCUCUUCUGCAGCAUCUCCAUUCUAUUUCCCUACAAGACAGAUGUUGCUGAGACAGUCUAUUCACAAAGGCUCUCUGGAGGUCACAAUUCAUCAGCCUCACUUUGAUCUUAACAGAACGGCAAUGUGGACUUUGUAACAUAUGCUCAUGUAUUCCCAAGGACAUGAAUGGAUAGGUUGGUGGCAUUUCAUAAUCAUAGUGUAUGUCCUUCACAUUUGCAAACUUACUCUUCAACCAAGGAGAGUUUGAGCCUUGUUUUCUUUGCAUCCUGAUGGCUGCAUCAGUUAGCUGGUAGACCUGUGUCUCGUCCUGUGUGUUGUGAGUCAUGAGAAGCUCCUCUUUUCCUUCCUUAGAAUGGGUGAUGUUAUUCCAUGGGACCAGAAACUGGUCUAUCAGUCCAGCUGUGGAUACCCAAGAGCCAAGAUGGGGGAGGGGCAUUACCUUUUUCUUCAGUCCUCAAGGAGAGCUAUAAACCAUCUGGUGAUGACUGAGCAGUUAAUGAGCUAGAGGUACAGUGGGCAGCAGGGCAUUGGAGCCUCUGGCUGGAAAACGUGCUUGGAGGAUGGAAGAUGAAGCUAAGGCAGAGUUUAUAGUAGAUUUAAAAAAAAAUAAUAGUGACAUUCUUUAGAAUAUUCUCCAAAUAGGAUUAAACCUGAUGCCCUAGACUUGGGAUAUGCACUCUGGGUCCUUUUCAGGUAGUGUGACUGUGAGCAAGCAUGUCAGCAUUGGGUUUAAACCAGUUCUGGAAUCUGCUAGCUGUGUGGUCCAUGAUAAGUUAUUUACAUUCAUAAGCCUCUACUUUUCCCUCUUAAAAUGAGAACAGUAAUUUCUACCUCAGAGGGUUGUGAAAAGUAACGAAGAUUGCAUAACCCUUGUAAACUCUACAGUACAUUGCUUAGUCUUUGUAAACUCUUUUCAUGAGGACAGAGACUCUGGUGCUAGAUGGCUGAGAAGCUAGGCAGGAAGCAGGCAUCCCUGCAAAGCCUGAUCAUAAGCUGAUUAUAAGCCAUUUUCUUGUAGAAAUGGUUAACAGUAGGAUAUAGCCUUUGAAAAAGCCUUGCGAGAGCCAAGAUGGCAGUCAGGGCCUCAGGAGUGUUGCCCAACAUGACAACUGAGUGAACCUUUGAUGUGGUAAUUGAUGGCUCCUGCACAAUUCAGCAACUCUGUUAACUCCUCUCCCAUUAGGAGGGAUUGAUUUCUUCAUGGGAUGGGAGUUUGUGCUGAUUCAUCAGUUACAGCUUUCCUCCUGCUGAACUGAUUUGCAUAGUGAAGAAAGAGUCCUCAGGGCUGGGGUGUGGCUUAGUGGUAGAGCACUCACCUAACAUGUGCAAGGCCUUGGAUUCAAUCCUCAGCACUACAUAAAAAUGAAUAUAUAAAACAAAGUUGUAGUUGUGUCCAACUACAACUAAAAAUAAAUAAAUAUUUUAAAAAAAGAAAGAGUCCUUUGGUUCUCCUAUUUCUCUUUCAAGGCCCCAGUGGAAGAAGGCACAAUUAGAGCAGCCCAAUAUUUGGUCCUAUAACUCAGUCCCCCUGCCUGGAGGGAGUUGGAGUGAAAAAACAUCAUCACUUAAAAAACUGUGUUCCCUUAUAACUUCUGUUUGAAUGUUUUGGGGACAUACACAGCCCAGGACAUUGUACCCCAAUGCUGCAGUCUGUGAUUUGCUAACGUUCCUUUUAUGGUUUAGAUCUGGAAUAUCAUUCAAAGGCUCAUGUGUUGAGGGCUUGGUUCCCAGUGCAGCAGUGUUCAGAGGAGGGACUUUGGGGAAAUGGUUGCAUCAUGAGGGUUCUGAUCUCAUUAGUGGUUUAAUCCAUUGAUAGGUGAAUAGGCUCUGGGGGAGGUGGGACCUAGUUGGAGGAAGUAGGUCAUUGGGGGCAUGCCCUGCAAGGAUAUUUUUUGCCCCUGGUGUGUGUCUCUGCCUCCUGGCUGCCAUAAGGUGAACAGCUUUUCUCUGCUAUGCCCUUUGCCAUGUUUCUGCCUCACUGCAUAGAAGCCUAAAAUCAAUGAAGUCAGCUGACAUUGAACUGAAACCUCUGAAAAUGGGAGCCAAGAUAAAUCUUUACUCCUGUAAGUUUUUCUCAGGUAUUUGUUGCAAUGGCAACAAGCUAACAUGGUCCCAGUGCCACCUUUUUUUAAUGUCAGCUUUAUGAAAAAUUAAAUAAUGCACAGUAAGAGGCAUCCAUUGGAGGCAUGCAACAGAAUGAAUCUGCCACUUGUAAAUACCAUUCCUGCAAUCAGGAUACAAAAUAUUUCUCAUCACAGAAGGUUCCUAGUGCCCCUUUGCAGUCCCUCUCCCUCUGACCCAGCUCUGUGUAACCUUUGAUGUUUUUUUUUUUGUGGUUAUAAAUGAGUUUGCAUUUUAUGUAAAUGGAUUAUUUUGUUAAGGGCUUCUUUUAGCAUAAUUUUUGUUGUGUAUUGUACAUAACAUAAAAAAUAGGAUUUUAACCAAUUUUAGGUACCGUUCAGGGGCCUGAAGUACAUUCUCACUGUUUUAUAGCCAUCACCACCUACCAUACCUGGAACUUUUCUCACUUUCCAAAACUAAACCUUUGUAACCUUUAAACACUGGCUUCCCAUUCCUCUCUACCUUCUAGAUUGUGGCUGGAAAUUCCUUGUGAAUUUGACUACUCUAGGAAGGUCACGCAAGUGGAAUUAUGGAUUUCUUUCUUUUGGGUCUGACUUACUGUGAUAUCUUCAAGGUUCACUCAUGUUGUAACCUGGGUCAGCAUUUACUUCCUUUUUUAAAGGCUGAAAAUAUCUCAUUGUACGUAUAUACCACAUUCUGUGUAUCCUCUCAUCUAUUGAUAGACACUUGGGUUGCUUCUACCUUUUGGAAAUUGUGAAUAAUUGUGCUGUGAGCAUUGGUGUACAAUUGUCUCUCCUAGUUCCUUUGCCAAUGCUUUGGGGUGUGUGUUUCAUAAUUCUAUGUUGAAUUUUUCUAAGGAAUAUCCAUAAUGUGGCUGCACCAUCUUACAACAUUGCUUUUGGUGUGUUUUGUUAUUCUGGGUUUUUCAAAACAUUUUAUUGGUCCAUAAUAAUUAUACAGAAUGGUGGGUUUCAUUGACAACAUUGUGUUUUAAACAAAGUUUUUCAUCAGAUUUCUUUUCUUUUUUUUUUUUUUUUUUUUGGUCAGGGAGGAUACUGGGAAUUGAACUCGGGGGCAUGCAGCCACUGAGCCACAUCUCCAGCCCCAUUUUACAUUUUAUUUAGAGACAGGGUUUCACUGAGCUAGCUGCUUAGCACCUUGCCAUUGUUGAGGCUGGCUUUGAUCUUUCGAUCCUCCUGUCUUAGCCUCUGGGAUUACAGGCAUUCACCACUGUGCCUGGCUCAUCAGACUUCUUGUUCUGAUUAUUUCCUCAUUUUACAUAAGACACACCCUUGGACUUCUUGUACUUCUGUGUGAUGAUGAUCUUUUUCUUCAGUAUCUUGAGUUUCUGCCUUUCCAGGUCUUUCAGACGGAUUUAAUUGCUCAGAAAAUUGCUCAGUCAUGAUAACUUCAAGUAAAAUGAUACUGCUUAAUUUCUCUUAGCUCUAGUUAUUUCCCUCUGUGUCCUACCUGGUGCUCAUUAACUGUAGUUAUUGAAAAAUUCCUUGUUAUCCUAUUCACUGUAUCAUUAUACAACUAGCUACAUCCUAUUAACUCUUUCUACCUACAUUAGCCUUUUUGAGAGAGACUAUUGUGCCAUACAUCAUACUUAUGUGUUUAGCUAUGUUUGUUAAGUAAUCCAUUUUAACUAUGUUACCCAAUCUUUUGCAACUGUGGUCUGACUUGCUAGCAACCUGUUCAUAAUACCUUCAAUGCUGCCUAGGUAUGAUCUGUUAAAACUCAUCACUCACUUAGAUCUUGUUUUGUCCAGGUAUCAAAAACCCAGUAGGAAGUUAAACGUAUCAUUGAUUCUAAGGACUCAACCUUGAAUGUGCAGAGAAUGUAGAGGGUCUCAGUUCUAAAGCACCCUUUUAAGAAGGCUCUUUUCCUUUGACCAGUGCUGUACUGUUCAUCAGGCUGCAUGAGUCAUCUUAGUGGUCGGGGGGAGAGCAUGCACAUGUGCGUGGGGUAUGUUGAGGGGCUGCUCAGUGGGGGGAAUGAGGGUUGGAAAGUAGGCAGCUGGGUGAGGAGCAAGAUCAUGGACGUCUGAGCAAGGAAGGCCGGGGAGAGGUCAGUGUUCCUUGGUCACAACAGAACCCUUUUUGACACCAUCAUUUUGUGAUGACUGACAAGGCUGUGUGACUGCUCAUCAUAGAGGCUCUGGGAAAGUUGCCAGAACAACGGCCCAUCCCAUUUGCUGUUCAGUUUUGGUAUUCUGUCCUCAUCUGAGCCCUGAGGGAGGAGGCUCUGCCCAAAGGCCACUUCCACCUGCCUGGGCCACAUUAGUACUUGGGUAACAGCUACCUCAGUCAAACCUUGUGCCUAUAGGCAACCAAAAAGAGGGUGAUGUUAGGGUCUAGGACAGGGCCAGACAUGAAGGGUUGGUUGGUUGGUGUGGAAAGGUGACUAGAGCACUUUUUUUUUUCCAUCAAUUUUCUUAUUCCUGGGAAAGUUGUUAUCGACUGGGUUUGCAUAGUAUAGUAGGGUUUUGAGUCUUUUAACUGGAUGGCCUAUACAGUAAGAGUAGGGAGAUCUUUCAGGGCCUACAUAGGGCACACACUAAAUGUGAUUGCACCUCACCUCAUUGGGACUGUUGUUCCUCCUAGUCCUACAUGUAGGGUCAUCUCCUGAUAAACAUAGUGGUCAAGCACAGCUGGGCAAUGCCCUAGGCCCAGCUUUGUGCAGGAAACGCCCCUAUUUGCCCACCUCUGCAGCUGGCCUCUGGGCUCUCUGUUUACCAAAUACCCAUUGAUGUCUCACUCCAAACACAGCUGAAGUCCAAGAGUGCUUCCUGUGUCCAAAGCCCUCUCCCCUCAUCCAGCACCUUGAGCCCAUUGAGGAACUCGUGCUGACAAGUCCCCUGAUUUCUCUGAGCCACAGAGACAUCUAAGGACCCCCAGGCAGAAUGGGUCCCUCUUUUUAAAAAAAAAAAUUAUGUUCCUUUUAGUUUUACAUGACAGUAGAAUGUAUUAUGACAUAUUAGUUAUACAUGGAGUAUAACUUCCCAUUCUUGUGGUUGUACAUGAUGUGGAGUUACACUGCUUAUGGAUUCAUACAUAAACAUAGGAAAUGUAUAUCCAGUUCAUUCUUUCUAUUUCCAUCCCCUCUCCUUUUCCUUCAAUCCCCUUUGUCUAAUUCAGUGAACUUCUAGUGUUGCCUCCCCACUCCCCUUAUUGCAUGUUAGCAUCUACAUAUCGGAGAAUAUGCGGCCUUUGGUUCUUUGGCAUUGGCUUAUUUCACUUAGGAUAAUAGUCUCCAGUUCCAUCUAUUUCCUAGCAAAUGCUAUAGUUUCAUUCUUCUUUAAGGCUGAGUAAUAUUCCAUUGUGUAUGUGUACUACAUUUUCUCUCAUAUUUCUGUCCCUGCCUGUCUACCUGCCCUUUCCUAGGAUGGCCUGAUGGUCACAUUUUGGGUGGUUUCUCUGGUAGUUUGUCCCUUUCCACCCCAGAAAACUAUUGUUCAUCCCAACUGACUCAGUUUAAAUGUGCUCUGGAAACUGAAUCACAAAUCCUACUGUGUGUGUUUGUCUUUCCCAAGAUGGAAUGAGAGUGCCUUUAACACAAGAUGGAGUCUUUUGAUUUUGGUCCCUCAUGUUCUCCAAAAUCCCCAACCAAACUUUGAACAUGUGAAACAUGUAGAAGACAUGAAGAUCAUUAAAAACAAAUGCUCAGCAGAAACAUUAAUUUAAAAAGAUAAAGAAAAGAUAUUCUAAGACAAAUAUUUGUAGAAGGAAUCACUAAAAGCUUUGAGUCUUGAAAUCAAAUGUUUAAUCUAGAGUUCGAUUUCUGUGUACAUACAAAUGUCACUCAAUUCAAUAUAAUGGCCAAUCUAUAUUUUGAGAUUUACUGUGGGCCUCAGGAACAUUUUUUGGGGGGGGGUUGAUUAUCUAAAGCUUUAGUCUUCUAAGUAUAUAUUCUUUAAAAGCCUGCCCUAUUCUAAGUGUUUGCAUUUGUCACAGGACACCCAUCUUUUUAUACUGAGCCCAUUGGACUGUGGGACUCUGCUUACUAGGGUUCCAACAAGAGCACUUUCAGGAGCUCAAGAGCUGGUGUAAAACAAUGCCUGUGCUGUUUCUCAUGUUGCCUUCUCCCCAGGGGACAGUUUGCCCAUGUGGGAAAGUUUGCCCCCAAACUUCUGACCAUUCUUCCAUCUCUGUUCUCCCCCUACAGGCUGGCCGUGGGUGACCCUCUCUGUCCUGGGAUUCCUGUAUUGCUAUUCCCAUGUGGGCAUUGCCUGGGAACAGACAUAUACCAUGGACUAGUGCCACCAGGCCCAGGCCAAUAUCCAAAGCAAAUGGUACUUCACCAUGACCUCCUACUCCAAGAUAAUCUCCAAGGGAUUAUCUCCUGCUCAUCUUCUGUUGAAGAUACCUCACUUCAAGACUGGCAGCUUAAGCUCUCAUAGAAAUUUUACAACCAGACUAUCUUCUGACUUCUGGGUUUAAGAGAUUUUCUACCCAAACACUGUCAGUUUCCUGUUGGGUAAGCUGAAGUGCAGGGCAGCAGAUCAUCUUGCCUAGCUAUACAGGGCAACCCAGCCCCAUUUCUCCUUUACCAAGAAUUACCUGGAAUGGAUAUUUCUUGAUGGAGCACAGAAAUCCUGGUUAGUGAUAGGCCUUUCCUCCACUGCGUAGUAUUUCUGAAACAUUUUACCACCAUUUUGGUGACUUCUUUCCCAUGAUCUACAUUGUUGGCUCUAGAAACAGAAGUAGAGUUGGACUUCCACACAUCAGCUCCUCAGCAAGGAGGUGACAAAGACACAGCUGGUUCUGAUGACCAAUGUAAAGAUGAAGGCAGUCCUGUGGCAUUCUAAGGAGUCUAUACCCAAGGAGCCCCAUGACUUGAAUUUCAUUAGGGUAAUCUACCUUUGAGGUUUGCAGGGAUAUAUAAACAUGGUAAUUCCUCUGACGUUUUCCAAUAAAGAAACAGAAAUAUGAAAACCAGGGAAUCAGUGUGUCCACAGCCGGGUGACACUGGGCAAGUCACAAAAGGUGAGGAUGGCGUCCCAUGAUCUCCAUCUCCACUUAGGUCCCCAGUCACUAUCCUACUCAGUAGUUCAUGUUCACUGGUGUAUGUUGCCCCAUUUUGAUUCAAAUAAAAUGGAGUCUUUGUGUUACAGAGAAAAUUCAGAUUUUUCUAGAAUUAGAGUAUUUUUAAGGAAAAUGUUUAAAAUCUUAGCAGUUACAUAACUCCAGAAAAAAUGCUGGACAGGCUACCAAUAUCCAAGUGGUAGAUAGCUUAGAAAAUUUGUUUGAUUUUUGGAUUUAUUUGUGGAACAGACAUUGAAGGUUUACAAUUUGAAUCCAUGGUGUAUCUAAUUUUGGGAGAAUUAGUAACAUCCCAAGUACACGAAUUGUCAUUGAGUGACAGGUGAAGGUUCACUUGAACCUAGCUACUGUCUCUCAUUUGUUGUAUGGUAUUGCCUUGGGUCUUGGCUGUGGUUAUCAACUUGAUGAGACUUAAACUCCUAGGUGCAGGACCAGUCAUCUUGUUGACUCCCUUUCUUCCUAGCUGCUCUGAUUGGAAGAGAGAUGGGAGGGAACCAGACAUUGAUGAACUGGCAUGGACACAAUGUAUUACGUGAAACAGGACAGAACAGAGCAGCUGGCAGACCUGGCAGCAGUAGACUCCACAGCUGGCUGGGUAAAGGAGAAGACACAUGGCAGGAGAUUCCUGGGUGCUGAGAAGUUUUAAUUGAGGGAAUGAGCCUGAGGGAAUGCAGUAGAACUUGGAGGAACACUGAGUCAGGAUUUGUGGUUCACCUGGAAGGAGUGUGGCUGAAGUUUACUUGGAAGGAAAGGGCUUGCUAAGAAAAAGUACAAAAAUGAUUGUUGGGAAGUGUCUAAUAUAUGUAGGUAUGUAAAACAAAAGAUUUGAGGUCUUCCAAAAAAGACCAUUUAUAUAAAAACACAUUUAGUCAAUCACUAAACUGUCCUGGACAAGGCAGUAGAUGUGUUUGAAAGUAAUAAUCCUGAAUUACUUUUAUGCUGUGAUUCAGAAUGGUUCUUGGUAUUUAGUAAGCUUAUUGUGUUUAACUCUAUUUGAAGCCUGGUUAACCAAUGUAUGUGUUAUGUAGUACUACUGUUUUCUUUAACCUUUUCCUGAUCCCCAACUGUAAUUCGGAAAUGACAAUACUUCUUUUUUUAUGGAUAUGAAUUAAAAUCCUGGAGUUGCUUUAAACAAAAGACCCUUGAGGUGGCUGGGCAUGCAGAGCUGUUCAGCUGAGGAGCAUCAGAUGUGUCACUAGUCCUGGGUAACUUCAGACAGGGUGUGGGGAAGAGAAUGGACAAGGUCCCAGGGUCACUUCCAGCCCCAGGAUCUUCUAACCUCAACCUGGCUCUAUGGGCAAGACCUGGCUCUGCACUUUACUGCCAAGAUGACACCCAAGGAGAGAAGUACGACACCUGAAGGUCAGUGAAACCUCUAUCACUCUGAUCAAUUCUUAGAACCACAAAAGAGAAAGUAUUUAUGCUGUGAUUCAGAAUGGUUCUUGGUAAUUAGUAAGAUUACUGUGUUUAACUCUAUUUGAAGCCUAGUUAAACAGGGUAUGUGUUAUGUAGUACUACUGUUUUCUUUAACCUUUUCCUGAUCCCCAACUGUAAUGUGGAAAUGACAAUACUUCUUUUUUCAUGGAUUAAUUUGUUGUUUUCAGAUUAAUUUGUUGGAAAUGACAGCACAAAAUGUUUUGUUCUGUUAAAGACCACAGGCCUAGAGAGAAAAAUGUAUCAGACCUAUGAUGGUCUAUGUACUAGGAGAAUAGCAAUUUAGUGAGUGUGGAGAGGGGGGAUCCUCUUAGAGAAUUUGAGACUUACUUUACUUGACUAAAUAUCAGAAGUGAACUAUAAUAUAAUGCUUUUGCAUUUAGCUGACUCUUAUGGUUUAGAUAUUAGGUGUCCCCCAAAAUCUCAUGUGUUAGACAAUGUAAGAAGGUUUAGAGGUGAAAUGAUUGGGUUUUGAGUAUUAACCCAAUCAGUGUAUUAAUCUCCUCAUAGGGAUUAACCGGGUGGUAAUUGGAAGCAGGUAGGGUGUGGCUUGAGGAAGUGGGUCCGCGGGGGUUUGCCUUUGGAGUUUGUAUUUUGUGAGCUGAGUUUAGCUGCUUUCUUCUGCCACACUCUUCUGCCAUGAUGUUCUGUCUCGCCUUGAGCCCCAAGUAAUGGAGCCAGUUGUGGACUGGGACCUCAAACUAUGAGCCCCAGAUCAACUUUUCCUUCUCUAAUUGUUUUUGUCAGGUUCUUUAGUCACAGAAGUGAAAAAGCUGACUAAAACA
rnacentral:lncRNA from 1 species